CCCUUUCUCUACAUUUUUUCCACUCUCUAUUACUCCACGUACUGCCUAGAGUUUUAGUUUUGUUUACCACCGUACUACAGUAGACACUAGACAGUGGAGAACCCAUCCUCUCGCCGCUCGCCUCUGGUCUAUAUAGGACGGCACCGGUGGAAACUGUCUGAUUUGCUUUUACCUUUUCUUCCGUUCAGUCGAAUCAACAAGGAAAUGGAAGACUCAAAUAGCGGAGCUUCUCUCCCGUCCGUCGGUACCGACGCCAAAAAGCGACGUGUGACCUACUUCUACGAGCCCACCAUCGGCGACUACUACUACGGCCAGGGACACCCGAUGAAGCCCCACCGUAUCCGUAUGGCCCACAACUUAAUCGUCCACCACUCCCCGUCCACUACUCCCUCCACCGCCGCAUGGAGAUCAACCGCCCAUUCCCCGCCGGCCCCAACGACGUCCGCAAAUUCCACUCCGACGAAUACGUCGACUUCCUCUCCACCAUUACCCCUUCCGCUGUUUCAGACCCUCUCAACCAUCGCCAUCUCAAGAGGUUCAACGUCGGGGAGGACUGUCCUGUCUUCGACGGCAUUUUCGGUUUCUGUCAGGCUUCUACCGGUGGCUCGAUUGGGGCUGCCGUCAAGCUCAAUCGAGGGGACGCUGACAUCGCAAUUAAUUGGGCCGGCGGAUUGCAUCAUGCGAAGAAGAGUGAAGCCUCAGGGUUUUGUUAUGUGAAUGAUAUUGUGCUUGGGAUUCUGGAGAUGCUCAAGGUUCACAAGGUAGCAUUACAAACUGUGUUUUUACUCUUUAUCAUGUUGUUAAGGAAGAAGUAUGUUUAUUAGCUUAGAAUGAUUUUGGCCUUGCUUGAGCUGAUUUAUAAAACCAUGAAAAUGUACGUGAUUGAAUCCUUUGCUUGUUUGCUGCUUCAAUACCAUGUAUUUGAGUCCCCAAAUACACAUCAAGGAUUUGAAAGCUUACCUAUCCGGCAAUCCCCCCUAAGAUUUCAAAUACAUUCUAGUUAAACCAAAUCCAUCCUUUAAAACCCCUCUGGCUGGCUGAUUGUAACUGUUAGGUCAUCUUUCUUAGUGGUUUUUCUUGAUUCCUUGCCAAUCUUUGUUGAGCAGCGUGUACUGUAUGUGGACAUUGACGUUCACCAUGGAGAUGGUGUUGAAGAAGCAUUCUAUACAACUGAUAGGGUGAUGACGGUGUCAUUCCACAAAUUCGGGGAUUUCUUUCCAGGAACUGGGCACAUUAGGGAUGUUGGUGCUGGGCAAGGGAAGAACUAUGCCCUGAACAUCCCAUUAAAUGAUGGACUGGAUGAUGAAAGUUUUAAGAGCCUGUUUCAGCCCAUAAUGCUCAAAGUUAUGGAGGUUUAUCAGCCUGAUGCUGUUGUUCUCCAAUGUGGAGCAGAUUCUUUGACGGGUGACAGGUUGGGUUGCUUCAACUUGUCCGUAAAGGGUCAUGCUGAGUGCCUCCGUUUUCUUAGGUCCUUCAACGUUCCUAUGAUGGUUUUAGGCGGUGGUGGGUAUACUAUUCGCAAUGUAGCUCGCUGUUGGUGUUACGAGGUAUGCCUGUGUUUAUCCCUUUGUCUUUCAUUUCUCGUCAAGUUCUUAAAAUUUCCUGUUACUUUUGGUGCCUUUGUUUCUGCAGACGGCAGUAGCAGUUGGAGUUGAACCUGAUAACAAGUUACCUUACAAUGAAUAUUAUGAGUACUUUGGCCCUGAUUAUACACUUCAUGUAGAGCCUUCGAAUAUAGAAAACCUAAACACGCCAAAAGACAUCGAGAAAAUUAGGUAAUGCUUUCUCUCAAAUUUUGUGAUGAUUAUUGAUCCAACUGGACAUCACAUAGAGCAAACACACCGUAUGAUAGAGAGGGAAUAUGGCUAUGUUAUAUUUCCUAUAAGUGUAUGAGUUCUACAUCCUAACAUCAUUUUCAUAUGAUUAAUAGUGAUUGACUAGAACCAGGGUUCCAUACUUCGGACGUGUUGCGCUUCUUCAAUGUCAAACUGUUACUUCUAUAUUCCAGAUUCCCUGUAGUUUACUGUUUGAUACUUUGAUAUAUGACUAGAAUUUCUCUGACUAACUUAGGCUCUAUUUUCAUCAUACUGAUCUCUCCGCUAGCUCUCAUUUUCAAUGUGAAGCGUAUGUGUACUACCUUUUGGAGAUAUUUGCGCUGCAUCAUAUAAAUAUUCUAUAUCUGCAAUGUUGCAAUUAGGGUAUCUUACUUGGCCAUAAUCAGUUGAAGUGAUUCAAGACAUGCUGAGUCCUCUCCCAGGAAUAUAAUUGUUGGUGCUUUGUAGAUAAAAAUGUAAAAAUUCAGAACUAACCACAUUAUCGGACACCAUUAGGUAGUCUAACAUGUUUACCCUCCUAACAAGCUAAAUUGGAAGAUUUGGGUUAGUUUUUCCAGGCGUAACUUCAAGCGAGAGAGCUAAAUUUCCUAUAAUUUUCGGAAAGCUGUAGAAUAUAACUCAUUGGUUAAGGAUGGCAGAAAUAGGUUGUGCAAAACUGAAGUCAGAUUCCCUGACUGUGGGUGAUCCAUGAUUCUAAUCUCUUUGCUGAAAUGUGCAUACUGAUGUUAGAGUUCCUAUUGUCUUUUGAUUCUGCUUACUUCAUGGUUAUACAUAUGAUAUAGUACAAUUGUUAUGUAGCUCUAUACUCUGAUAGUUAUGUCUUGAUCUUUUCAGGAACAUACUGCUGGAACAACUCUCUAGACUUCCUAAUUCACCAAGCGUGCCUUUCCAGAUGACACCAUCCGUGACUGAAGUUCCAGAAGAGGUAAGUUGAGGGUCAAAUACUUAAAUCUGAGUGUUUUUUUACUGUCUCGUUCUUAUCAGCGGGGUGUUGGUUAUAAAUCUGGUAGGAUGAAGAGGAGAUGGAUGAAAGAGAAAGACCUAGACCUCGUAUAUGGGGUGGGGAAGAGUACGACUCGGAUCGUGAAGAUGACAGCAAGCCUCACACUAGAAGUUUGAAUACGGAGGAUGAGUCUGUGCAGAAUGAUGAAACGAGGUAGGUAGGCAAUAGAAGAAAAUUGAACAUCUUGUUUACAGUUCCUCUUUCUAAUGCGUUGCAUUUGGUUGGUGUAGGGAUGGCACCGAUGAUAUGGACGAUGACAAACCAGAAGUCGAUAGUCGAUUUUGAUAUCUGUACGUGUAAACCAAUUUGCAGAAUCUGUCUCUCCCAUAACUUGUAGAGUUAGUCAUCUUCCCUGAAGGAAUGGAAACUGUUUCACCAGCGGGAGAGUUUAGAUGUUGAUGUAGUUGUAAUAUACAUUUACAUGCACAGUUUUAGAGUGCAGAAGCCAAGUACUUGGUACCAUUGUUCUGUGGACCUGAAAAGGAAGGUAUUUUAGAAUCUGAAUAGUGAGUCGAGUUCUUAUUAUUCUCGAGUAUAAUUACUCGUUCGAUUUGGCUCUUUCGUCGCAGAAGAAACGCUAAUUUUGUUAACUUCUUCGUCGUUACAAUUAGAAAUAAAGUAAAAAUCAUGUCAAGGUCGUGUUAGUUUGGAUCCAUGAUCCAUCUAUUGAUAAGCAAGAUUCAAUUAUCAAACUUUCCAGAGAAACAACCGCAGGAGAAGAACUUCCUCUGAUCAGGAUUGGCAAUGGAUGAUGAUGACGCCAUUCUUCUGUGAACACCAUCAGUUAAAGCCUUCCCUUUGUGAACCACGGUUACCUGGCAGUAAUCGGGCGCGUUCUUCUUGACGAAUUCUGCUUUCCCGACUCUCUUGAUCAACCUGGAGCGUGGAAGAGGAGGAGGCUUUGCGCCGAGGACGAGAUUGGUGAUGUUGAGAACAGGGAUUAGAUCAAGUAUGGCUUUCCCAGUUUCGGCGCUCUCCAGCAACAUGGUGUCUACUGGAACCUUGGCAUCAUCACAGAAGCGAAUGUAUUUGUGCAACAGAUUCCUCCUCCUGUUGUUCUCCUCGUUGGAGUAAAACCUCAACUGGUCUUUGCUCAGCUGGUUCUUCGCCAAUCUUCCAACUGCAAAAAUUACAUUUAGCUUUAACUUCUGCUUCUGCAAAGAAUUGACAAGGAAAGAAUGAAACAGUACCUGGAGUGGAGAUGUAGCGGAGGGGAGGGAAGACGUGGACGAGGAACAAACGAGAGGGAGGGGAAGAGAUAUGAUCGACGGCCCAUUUGACAGCAUCCAUGUCAUCUCUCCCCACACAAACAUAUACAUCAUUGAUCACUAUCCCACUACUACUGUUGUUGUUGAUAUUGUUGUCAUCGAAAUCAACGAUCUCCACAAUUUCAGACGACAUCACCCUUGAUUUACUAUACUGGAACGAGCUGCUGCUGCUGCUCCCCGUCGCCGGCGACUGUCCUUCGAUUUCCAUAUCCUACGUACGACAAGAGAGGAAGGAAGAACACAACAGAGGGUCUGGAAGUGAAGAUAACAAUGGGGGGAAAAGGGAGUGUAAUGGUAAUCGUUGGUCUGAAAGGCACAUGGAGAAAGAGAGUAAGAAUGGACCAAUAUAUUCUCUGUUUUGUCUCUCCAUGGUUAUCGUUGAAAGCUAUUGGCCACUAUCACCCUCUUUCAUCUUUUUCGUCAUUUUCAUAUUUUGUGUUUUCUUGUCUAAGUGUUUUUUUAUAAGUAACUUUUCUUCCACGGAUUCAUGAUCAAAAUAUAUAUUCAAUCAGAUUUAAAUUAAAAUUUGUGUAUCGAAUAUUCAAUUUACGAAUAUAUACUUUUUAAAACUUAAUACUAAAUUAAAAUAUACAAAUGUAAGUCUUUCAAUCUUUUGACGUGAAGAAAACUCAUUUUUUAGAAACUAAUAUAGUGAUACCGGUAUUUACAGUAUUUGAAACUUUUAAAAAGUUGGUAUCUUUUGGGAUAACAUAGUUAGGGUUGUCAAAUUCGAAUUCGAUUAUAGAUUGCUUGAUAACUGAUUCUCGUAACAUAUUAAUUAUUUGAGAUAGCGUAGGAAUAGCGGUAAGAUGAAAUAAUCACACCUUACCACGUAAUUAUGACACCUUGUAACGUAGUUAUAAAAUAAAAAUAACUAGCUAUAAUUUUAAAUAACUAGUUAUAAUUCGAUGAAUUUCGGUUAUUUUCCGGCAAAAAAAAAUUAUAAAAACUAGUAGUUAUUUACUUACAUCUUCUCCAGCGACUCGUGUUUCUUCCCCCAUGGUAACUGGUUUCAGCAGCGAGGAACAGGCUCCGAGAAGAAUUCGUGUUCAGAGAAACAGCUUCUCAAGUGUGUGUGAUGUGAAUUGUGAUAACCAUCAACAUCCCAGAAACUGAGAUGACCAAGGUAGUUGUUGACCAAAGAAUCUAGUUGUGAAUUGUAAUUCAUGAAAUCUCAUUUUAGUUGGACUCGAUUAACAGAACAGAUUAAUGUAAAUGGUAGUGGGGCGCCGUAGUAGUGGACCAUUAUUCCACUACAGGUAUAUCAGAUAAGACACAGGACCGACUAUCCAUCCUCUUCUGGAGGAUGAUCAUAGGCCGAAAAUGCUGAGGCUGCCACGCUAAAAGUUGGUGGAGUAAAAAGCAAAACGACUUUGUGGUGCCAUUACAAGAUUUUGUGGAUCAUAUUUUCCAUCAAAAUGUUUGGUCCAGCUGAACAAGUUUCCCUUCCUCCUUAAUGGAAGUAAAAAUCAUGGAGCUGCUGAAACAUCUAAGGCUUCGAAAUGACUGGCGAAUCGUUGAUCUUGGAUAUGGCAGCAGCACCCAACCAAACGAAGAGCCUGUAGAUAGUGAUCUUCUGUUCUAUAUAGAGUAUAUGGUCAAACAUCAAUUCUCUCUAGCAUACCUGUUAAGAGAGUAUGGCGAGAAGAGCAAUUGUGCUUAGAGCUCUGCAAGUGCUUAUGAUCUUAAUAUCUUCUGCAUGGGUUGCCAUAUGGGUUCUGAAGCCAACCAGAUUCUGGACCAAAACUUGGAAAGUUGCUGAAGAUCGUUGGAGGCUCCUGCUACUUGGAUAUUAUGGUUUGUUCUUCAUAUGUUUCUUAUCUCAUCCCUUUACUUCAAAAAAUUCAAUGCUAUAUAUCAUUGCUGUAACUUUUUAUGCUUCCUCAGAUGGCAACUAAGUACCUAAGAGUGGCGACCCGAUUCGGGUUACUAGCAGAAGCAUGUCUAGCGCUGCUUCUGCUACCUGUUCUGAGAGGGUUCGCCUUAUUUCGGUUAAUCGGAAUCCAGUUUGAGGCUUCAGUAAGGUAUCACAUCUGGCUUGGAACUGCAAUGGUACUCUUUGCCACUGUACAUGGAGUAAGCACCCUGUUCAUCUGGGGUGUCAGCCACCAUGUUCAACAAGAGGUCCAUUCUGAAACCAGAAAAAAGGAAGUCGUUUCAUAUAUCACAUAGUUUUACAUAUAGUCUGGAACGUUAUUAUAUUAUGUUCAUGUUUUGGCUUGAAGUAAUAACAGAUGUGGAGAUGGCAGAAGACUGGAAGGGUAUAUUUGGCAGGGGACACUUGUUGCAGCACUGGUGAUGUGGAUCACAUCAUUUCCCCAAAUAAGGAGGAGAAGAUUUGAAAUCUUCUACUACACGCACCAUCUUUACGUUGUGUUCUUCGUGUUCUUCCUGUUUCAUGCUGGGGACAGGCAUUUCUAUGCUGUUUUGCCAGGUGUAUUCCUCUUUGGCCUCGACAAGUUGCUCCGGAUUAUGCAGUCGAGGCCGCAAACUUGCAUCCUCUCGGCACGUUUGUUCCCCAACAGAGCCAUAGAGCUCAUCCUGCCUAAAGAUCCCAGUAAGUAAUGUUGAUGAAUAAUAUAAAAAUCAUUUGCUAGUUUUGAGGCGAGAGUCCAAGAUAAGUGAGUUAGAUAGCGGAGAGAGGGUUGAUUACUGGUUGGUUGAUGUAGCGCCUCUAGUUCCUCGGUUAUCAUUGCGAUUUUUCAGUAUUAGGAUGCUCGUUGUUUGCUUUGUAAACCCAUGCAGGAAGAGUGUUGUGUCGGGGAUAAUCCGACGAUGAAUGAUUUCAUUUGGGGAAAGUAGUAUGUUGGUGAUCAUCGUUAUGUACUAGGUUCAAAUUUGAACUUGGUUAUUUCAUGGUCUUGAAACAUCAAACGAGAUUUAGUAAUCCGUUAAUGCUCUCCGGGAAGCAGAAAUUGUUGUAGUUCAUCUUUUCUGGCAAUGUUUUUCCCCCAUUUUGGUGAGCUUGCAUGAUUUCUUUUGCCAUGAUAUCAUCUCACGGGAUUUUGAUGCUCAAUUUUCCUUUUGGAUGUAGGAUGGAAUUAAAUUGUUAAAUACAUGGUUAGAAGGUGAAAGAUCGAUAAGAUUUUGCAAUUACCUCUCGGAGAGCACCAUGAAGCUCAAUCCAGAUGAAAUACCUCACGGUAACAUACAUGCCAUAUUUUAGUUUUUUUGUUGCAUUUGCUGUAAUUUCAUGGCUGAUUUCCCGUGGUGCAAGGAUUGAACAAUCAUUGAAUGAUUUAUGCAGCUGAAACAUGGCCUUACCUGAUUACAUUGCUCCUCCAGUGCGUGUCGUUAGAAAUAUCAUCAAGCAAAAAGCGUUUCCCAAAGUCGACGUACGCAAAAACACUACGCAUUGUCGUCCAGCGAUCAGAAGAUGUUAAAUUCUCAGGUUUGUUCAUGGUUCCUCUGAUUGAUCAAUUGAUCACAUGGGCACAAUUUAAUGUGAGGAGAUGAAUGUGUUGCUAUACUGAUAAUAAUAGUGCUUAAGAAGUAUGUUGUAAGUUAUGAGCAUACAAAGGUAUUCCAUUUGAAUUAUCCAACUGUCGCCCCCACUAUUUGUGAUUUACUUUUUCAUCUACUUUCAGGCAAGAUGCCAGUUCUGCUACCGGUGGUUAAAACCCUUUUUAAUCACCUUUGGGAUGUACUAAGCAGUGUUCCAAGCUUUCAGGCAGAAUAUGGAAUUAUUCUUCGUCUUCUAUUAAGCAUUGGAGACUAUAGGUUUCACUUGAGGAAAAAAAUUUAUUCUAGUAAGUCCUUUCUCAAUUCACAUUAUUCGUGUAGGUCAUACUGUUGCUUGCUUUUUGGUUAGCAUAUCUAACUCUAAAUUUUGAAGGCCUGAUCCAUUUCUACAUUGAGAGGGUGGAAACAACUUUAAGCGAGGAAAAUGAUAGCCACUCUGUUCCAAGGGAGGAGGUUUUCCGUUGCAUUACGACUCUACAUUCCCUUCUUGAGAAUCCUCCAGGUGACUUGGCAAAUGAUGUUAGAGGGGAUAUUGCUAAAGGGUUGGUUCAGAUGUUCUCCUCUGUAAGGUAAACUAUUGUACUUGAACAACUGGCACUUCUUUUUCCUUUCUUAUUUACUUUUAGCUGUCUUGUUGAUUGAAUACCUUUGUUCUGAUAGUUGCUCAUCAUUAUUAAUGAAAGGUAUUUCACCUGCAAAUUUAUCUGGGAGGAAAGCAAAAUAUCACGCAAGCUUAUGGAAUGUGUUAAUGUGUAUUUGUUGAACAAUGGCCCUAACUUGAGCUGGGAAUCCUUAGAGAUUCAUAGUGCUGUGCGCAAUUUUGUAUUCCGUUGUUGGCUUACUACACGAGAUCAUGGCCUCGAGGUUUUCUGAGUACUUGUACUAUUUUUGUUGCUACAUGUCCUACUUACGUGGUCUUAUUUGCUUGUCCGUCUGUCCUUAUAUACUGAUUUUUUAAAACUUUUAUGUUCACUUGUGACCUCAGGAUACUCUUAUAUUGUAUUCAAGAUUACAGCUAAACUUAAAGUCGGGGUGAUCUUGAAGGAAGUUCUUUGGUAGACGAACUUCUGGAUGUGAUAUGCAAAGAAUUAGAUCAAGUUAGCCUGCCAAUUGUAGGGGUGUCAUGGUGAGUAAAGUAACUUCUCUGUCUGGCUGUGCAGCUUGCAAGUAGUUUCUUAUCCUGUUUAUGAUGUUGCUUAUGAGCUUAGGACAGAAGCAAUGAAGGAUGAUAAAUGUGAAGUCUUAAGUGGAUCACAGUAUUGCUUGGUGGAACUUUCAGCUCUGGUGUUAUAUCGGGUACACAACUUGCAUCCUAAUGAUUUGCUAUGUUCAUUUACUUUCUUUCGCCAAUCCUACACCUUGCAGUCUACCUAUGGUGUCAGGGAACUUAAAUCAUUCUAACUGUUUCUCUUGACUGUUGUGUUGCAGUUGUAUACUACAUAACUAACUUGGGAUUUUGCGGAUGUUAUUGAGGGAAUCACUGCCUAAGUAGGAGUCUGAGAUAUUAUGCAUUACAUAACUAACUCUAUGGUUUCAAACCUCAGGCUUGUGUUAGUACAGUUAGAGCUCCAGUAGCUGAAAAGCGUGUAAAGAGGGAGCACAUUUGUGUAAUUGUAAAGGAAGCACUUGCAGGGGGGAAAUGGUUAUGGUAAGUUUACACUCCCUGGAAUUAAGUGGGCAGAUCUUUUCAUUAAAUGGUUCGAAGGGAUCUCAUUGAACUUUGAAAGGUAAUGCGAUUGUUUGAUUGUGUAGUCCUUUUUUAACUUUUGUUUGUAUAUUGUCUUGGCAUUGCAAGAAAACUGAGAGGGUGUGGAUUUCUAUGAAAUUCUGAAUACAGUCGACCGAGAAGACUCUACCAUGUGCUUCCUUAUGAAUAAUAUGCUUUCUAAUGGCAGUGACGCAGCAUACUAAUGUAGUAUUUUGGUGAUGGAUGAUGAACUUUUUCAGGUUGGUUACGUUGUUGGGCUCGGUGACCGACAUUCGAUGAACAUCUUACUUGAUCAGGCUACCGCUGAAGGCCGGCAGGUUCCCUUCAGACUUACAAGAGAUGUCAUCGAUGGAAUGGGUGUUACAGGAGUUGAAGGUGUUUUCCGCAGAUGUUGUGAAGAAAGCGCACGAAUAAAGAAGCAUGUUUCUCAAGAGGAUGAAAUAAUCCAUGUUUCAGGUGUUUAUUCAUGAUCCUUUGUAUAAAUGGGCGUUGUCUCCUCUGAAAGCCUUACAACGGCAAAAGGUGAAGAGUUUGCAUCCAAAUGUAAAAUCGAAAAGGAUGAUGCUUUGUGUGAUCUGAUACUGUCUUAUCAUCAUCAUUAUUGUAUAGGAUACGGAUUAUGAUCUGGAGACGAGUAUGGAAGACUCCGAUGAUCGAAGCGAGGGGAACAAGGAUGCGACGCGGGCGCUACUGCGAGUGAAGCAAAAGCUAGAUGGCUACGAAGAAGGGGAGCUGAGAAGUGUGAAUGGACAGGUAACAAAGAAACGAUCAUUGGUUUAAGUGACAAAUUCCAAAGGUGCAGAGUUGUAGCGGUUUGAUUGAUGAGUAUUUGGUUUGUGUUUGAUGGCAGGUUCAGCAACUGAUUCAAGACGCUAUUGAUUCGGAGCGUCUGUGCCAAAUGUUUCCAUUGAAGGAACUUUACUUGGACAAUUACUAAGGCCACGGUUGUGGGACAGGUGGAGGAAAGACUUUACGUGAAAGGAAUUAUUAUUAUGGGAAAAUGAAUGAGGACAAAUAUAUAGAUAGAGUCUGGGAUUAGAAGGCACAUGGACCCAUGAUUGCGAGAUGACAGAUAUGCCCCUGGCCUUGCUCUCACUUGCUUCUCUCCUCAACAACUACUGAGCAGGUUUGGAAUUCAGGUAAAAAGAAUUUUCAGAAUUUUCAAAAUAUUUUUAAAUCGUUAAAUUUUAUGAGUUUUAGGUCUAAUGAUUUGUAUAAAAAGGUAAGGAAGUUUUUUGAAUAAAAAUUAUUUAAUUUGUUAUUUAUUUUGGUUUGAGUUUGGAUUUAGUGUUUCGAUUAUGGGUUUAAUAUUAAAAUUAUAAUUUUUAUUUUUGAUUUUGAAUUUUAAAAUUUAAAUUUACAUUUAGAUUUUAUUAUUCUCUUGUGAAACCAGUACUGCAAAAGCCAGCCUAAACAACCGUCUAGGAUCUUUUCAUUAUACUCAAAAGUUUGUUCAUAAUUUCUAAUCAUCAUAACUCCGUUAUCAAAUGAAUAAUUUUCUUUUUGAUAUGUCUUUUGCGUUGUGUCGUUUUUAUGUGUUGUGAACAAAGACAAUGUCCAAAUUAUAAGCCACUUAGUUUGCAUAUAUAACUUUUUAAAAUAAUUAAAUCGUAAACUAAUCUUUAUCAAUAUUCCGACCCUUUAUUUAUCAGAAAAAUCAACCCAUCUAAUUUCGAGCCAACUAACCAAGACCGCAAAGUCGGCCCACCGGCUCUGUCUGCCCUCCACCCACCCGGCCCAUCCUUUUUGUCCUGUAGUACCCUACACGCCUCCCCCGCCCCGCUAUAAAUUCUGCUCCAAAUUACUUGCUCUGCGGUUUGACAAUAACUACAGACAAACAAACUAAUUGCCCGAAUCCAUGGUGUGCGAGAGUGAACCGGAGAUGAAAACUACUCCCGCCGCAGCGUCCACCAACACUAUUAUUAAGUUCCUAUGUAGCUACGGAGGGAAGAUCGUUCCUCGUUCUAGCGACGGCAAGCUUCGUUACCGCGGCGGACUCACAAGAGUGUUUGCUGUCCAUCGUUCCGUUUCUUUUUCCGGUACGUUCAUCUUUUUCUUGCCUUGGUUGAAUGCGAUCGGAAGUUAGUUAUCUCAUGAUCUAAUCGAGUUUCAACGAACUUGUUUAUUUUGUUCAUUUACAGAGCUGAUGGUCAAGCUGGGGGAGUUCUGUGGUGCUCAGUCGUCCGUCGAAUUGAAGUGUCAACUGCCUAACGGAGAUUUGGAGACUUUGAUCUCAAUCAAGUCCGACGAGGAAUUGGCCAACCUUUUCCAAGAAUAUGACCGUUGUUGCCCCGGAUCCAAAAUUAGAGCGGUCCUGUCCCUGCUCAAACCGGUGUCGUCAUCUCCUACUCAAUCGGAGACAGCAACGAGCAAUGAUUCCUCUCCUUGCAGUACCCCUGAAUACUUCCGCCCAUCGGCUUGCGGCUUUCACUCCCCGACGUUUGGUUACCGGGCCGGCUUCUAUGGAGCUUCCGUCCAAAGCGGCCACUACAGCCCACAGCAUCCAAUCGGAAUUGGACAGCAGCGGAAAGUGGUCGGGCGUCGCUACAGGAUUUGGAACUAAAUCGAACGGAGACAGAAUCAAUGAAUCCAAAUUUAGUUUGUUAGGUUAUACGAACUAGAAACCAAUACAAUCAUAAUGGCGAUGAUGACGAAAGAGCAGACAAAACUUUUCCUCUUCUUUCUUUUAUUCUUUUCGGUUCCAUGUGUGCGAUUGGUCUACGGGGAAUUCGCCAGAAUCAUUCCGAGGAACGGAACUUAUCCUUUUUUAAAGUCUCCGGCGCCGGACUUGAAUCCUCAAAUUUCCCCGGCGUCGAUGGUGAAUUCGGUACCGUACAGGUUCUUUUUCGUAAUUCCUGUAUAUACGUUCCGUCGGCGAUGGCUGGUUUGUUGUGGUGUGGUACGUGUGACACGUAUGGGGUGGCGGUGGUUUGUUCGGAAGACACGUACCGGCUUGUCAGCAGUUUCGUUUGUUGGCUUGUUAAAUUUGUUCAUGAAUCUGUCUUUGUUUGCAUUCCUUUCCUUGUGAUUUAUUCACUGUUUCUGAACGUCACUGACUCUUGCUUGUGUUUGAAUUUGGUUGCAGGUGGGGAAGAAGGUGGAACUAAUUAAUUAUCUGGAGGGAAUCGGAAUAAAAAUCGUAAUCAAUCACAUGAUUUAAUGUAAUGGUUGCCAACUAACAAUAGCUUACCAAAAAGAUCAAGUUCAUGAAUUACCAUUGGUUCUGGACACAUCAUCUGUUGGGGGGCUGGAACUGCUGGCUUAGGGAAUGGCAGCUCAUGUUAUCUAGUCCAGAGAUGAAAGAUUUGACAGUCCAUGUACAAACCUUCCCAAACUCUUAACUACAGCUCAUGUUCGGCUCCUACGGAAGUUAGGUCUUAGAAUAAUAGGGACCAAUUUCAGCAAAGGUGACGCGAAUCGAUAACAUCGUCUUUUGAGGGUCGUAUUUGCCAUUCGAACCCACGAGAAAACCAUGCAACCUCUAUCUAGCAUCACUCGCUUAAGCCAAUCGACGAGCACAACAUGCUUGUAGCUUGACCCCUCGCGAGAAGCCUCGGUCACAACUGCAAGGGAGCAUGGCCGCAAGCAAGGCAUGUUUGUGGUCUCAGCCUCAAAAGCUUACGUUUCACUAUUAAGUUUACUGCUGUUAUAGAAAAUUUCCAGUUCGAGCAUUUAGACUAUCAAAAUAUUCAAACCAAGAAAGGGACUUGAUUGUAUUCCAUUCUAUAUUGCAUACCACUAUUCGGCUUCGAUCAGUACGAGAAUUUGUCUAAAGCUCUUCGACAUUCAAGGUGGACAUUUUAGCAGUACAUACAUACAAUUGCUGCAUCAAAAAAACUAUCAAAAUCGAAGAAAAUGCAUCUUCUCUGUUCCGCCCCUUCAACAAAAGUGGACAAUUUGUUCCGACUCAUUGUUCGAUCCUGCUGCAAAGCUACAGGGUGAAAAGGGGAGCUCAGGUAGUAGGAUUUUGGUUAAAGUAAUGGAAGCUGCAAGUUACUCUGUAAAGGACGAAGAUUUAUGAAACCAAUUUCACUGUUCAUUCGUUUUGCAGGAUGCUCACUUGCUACUCCCCGAGAACUCAACUGAUAAAUGUGACACAACCACACAACUCAUCCCUACUUAACAUAACGAAAUUGUACACAUGAGAAACGCGACGAUAUAUAUAUAUACGUAUAAGAAGAUUUCACUUGCAAACCCUGAGUCAUUUACAAAAUACAUCUACUCCAGCUGAUCAUAUCAUAAGUGAACACAAGUAUAUCCAACAGUCUACAUCUCGAUGUUCAGUGAGGUUUCAUUUGAAAUAUACUGACGCAACAUUUAAGUUUCUACUACAGGAACAACAUAGUAGCCAAAAGUGUCAGAUUAACGUACGGAUUUGUUCGGAUUUCGUAAAUUGUUAGCCAGUUUCUUGCUCGAACUCUUCCCCUUCAGAUUCAUCAGCAUUGUCGGCAUCAUCAUCAUCUGGAUCGUUGUCAUCGUCCUCUUUAUCAUUGUCCGUAGUGGUUUUCCCAAUCACAAUCAAGUUGCUGUUAGUCUUCUGGAUUUCAUUCAACUGCAAACCGCCAACGAUGAAACAAACACUAGAAACGCUUUAGAAACUGGAAAAUUACGCCAGGUAACAAUGCCAUUUUCAUCACAAUCACAAGCAAACAACAUAGAUUCAGCACUUGUGUUUCCUUUUCACUCUCGUUUUAUUUGGACCGAGCAAAACAAAUUGGCAACUGGGGCAAGCAAUACACAUAAUUGUGAAUCAACUGAACAUUGGAAAUGAAAGAAAUCUAAAGAAUUGACAUAUUGAUUUGGCGUCUAGGGUUCGUUACCCGAUCCUCGUAAGCGUCCUCUUCCAUGGCGAGAAUCUGCUCUGCGGUAAGGGGGUGGGGCGACGGCUGCGAGGACAUGAGGUUGGAGGCUGGGAUCGUCCUGGUGGACCAUGGGUACUGCGUCAUGAAAGCUGGAAACUGCAACAUUAUUUUCACCUCACGCUCUGCAGUGCACUGACACUGAGGCUUAUCUGCUCUUCUUUCUUUGUUUUGAUGCAAAAUCGAAGUCGGAGUUUGUGAAGUGAAAAUUACAGAUGGAGCCCAUUAGCAGUAACGGGUUGUUGAACUCGACAUCGACGCUUCCGUACUUUGGUCCACGUACAUUUUUUGCUGGGCUUGGACCUUGGAUAGCAAUUGCCGCAAUAGAAUCGGAAAGAACCUUGAUUUGUCGAUUACUCAAAGACCAAGCGAGUUGAAGACUAUCAAUACUCGCAUGCAUCUCAACGCGGGUAACUGAAGAAAUUCCAAAGUUAGCCGUAAACGCCUUCACAAAGGAUAUUCUCGGUCGAUCUGGAUAACACCCUUAGCUGUUGCAUCCCAUGUGGGGAGCGAAGUGACUCAUCGGUAUUAAUAGUACGUCAACCCUACGACCGUCACCCAAUCAAUUGGGUCUGCCGUGCCAAACUCGACACUUCUACCUAUUGAUUGAUAUUUGUCCCUUUUUUCCUCAAUUCUAACAAAAAAAUAAGCUAUUUAUCAUUCGCUGCUAAUAGAUCGAAUCUUCAUAUUUGAGUUGUAACCUAAUAUUUGUGGGAGUAGUAUUCAAGCUUGUGUCCUAUUUGGCAUUACCCAGACCACAGAGUGGCAACUAGAAGUAACCACUCUUUUUUCUGGUUUUCUUAUCUUUCAACCCACUUUCAGUGUCGUAUAACUUACUUUCUUUUCCCCAUGUGAUUCUGCUGCUUGCAGGUGAGGAAGGCCAAAGGCAGAUUCUAUGCUUCUUAUAUGUCGGCGACGGAUGCUUCUGUCGCUGCAACAAUGCAUAAUUGCAUAUGGUUCUAACGUCACAGAAAAGCAAGAAGCUAACGGUGGUCAGAUUAAUGCUUGAAAGGCAAAGUUUGGUGGAAGGAUCUUCAAUAUAUAUGUAUAGACCAUCCGAUCUAAGAGUUGAGUCAUUUGACUCAUCUAAAACCAGCAAUAAACCACAUCAUUAAUAUACCACUAUUCGAAAAGCCAGAGCAGCAGCAUGUGUAUCUGCAGUCAACCAUGGUCUAAAGCCAGAGCAGCAGCAUCAUAAGUUACUUGCUUUACUGCAGCAGCUAGUCGGCUGACGAAAUCAACCACUAUUCGGAACAUCAGGGAAAUGAUCACAGAAUCACAAGAAUUUCGAUCUAGGAACUAUCAAUCAUGGAAAUCUGCAAAGGAGAGAACAAGGCUGCAAAAAAAUAAUAUAUGACAAUUCCGCUUUCUCAAAAGUUGUUCAGGAAAUGAUCAAACUGAUUGCAUACACCAAAAGGAUACAAAUGAUUUUGAGACCCCCUUUAUAAGUUCAAAUCCGAUUCCAACUUCCAAAAUUACUGGUGGUUACUACUCAAGGAUCUUGCCAAUGACACCAGCUCCUACAGUCUUGCCACCUUCUCUGAUAGCAAACCUCAUCCCAGACUCACAAGCAACAGGCAUAAUGAGCUCCACCACCAUCUUCACUCGAUCCCCGGGCAUAACCAUCUUCGACUCCUCGUCCUUAUCGUUCAUAAUCUGAGUAACUUUCCCAGUCACAUCAGUAGUCCUCAUGUAGAACUGCGGCCUGUACCCUGCGAAAAACGGCGAAUGCCUCCCUCCUUCAUCCUUCUUCAAAACAUACACAACAGCUUCGAAUUUGGUAUGGGGAGUGAUCGUCCCUGGUUUAGCCAACACCAUCCCUCUCUGGAUAUCAGCCUUCUGGAAACCUCUCAGCAACAACCCCACAUUGUCACCAGCCAUAGCCUCGUCCAAAAUCUUAUGGAAGAACUCAACUCCAGUGACGGUAGUCGUCCUGGUAUCUCUCAAACCAACAAGGUCGACUGUAUCACCAAUCUUGAUUGUACCUCUUUCAACCCUACCAGUAGCAACAGUACCACGACCAGUAAUUGAGAACACAUCUUCAAUAGCAAGCAAGAAAGGCAAAUCCACCAUUCGUUGCGGGACUGGAAUGUAGCUAUCAACAUUAUCCAUCAGCUCGUAGAUUUUGUCAACCCAUUCAUUCUCACCUCUUUUGAUGGCUGGAUUGGCCAUCAAGGCCUCCAAGGCCAAAAGAGCAGAUCCGGAUAUAAUCGGGAUAUCAUCUCCAGGGAAUUCGUAAGACGAUAACAAUUCACGCACCUCCAAUUCCACCAAUUGAAGAAGCUCCUCGUCGUCCACCUGGUCCUGCUUGUUCAUGAACACCACCAUGUUUGGGACGCCGACCUGCUUCGCCAGCAGGAUGUGCUCCUUGGUCUGCGGCAUGGGCCCAUCGGCGCCGGAGACGACGAGGAUUGCGCCGUCCAUCUGUGCCGCUCCGGUAAUCAUGUUCUUGACGUAGUCAGCGUGGCCGGGGCAGUCCACGUGGGCGUAGUGGCGGUUCUCGGUUUCGUACUCGACGGUGGCGGUGUUGAUUGUGAUACCGCGGGCGCGUUCUUCCGGGGCGGCGUCGAUUUCGUCGUACUUCUUGGGAGCGCUGUUCCCCAUGGAGGCGAGGGCCAUGGUGAGGGCGGCGGUUAGGGUUGUCUUGCCGUGGUCGACGUGGCCAAUUGUGCCGAUGUUGAGAUGGGGCUUGUUACGCUCGAACUUGCCCUUAGCAGCUCUGACUGUGAAGGAGGAAGGAGCGCCGCGGCGGCGGCGGAGGGGGGAGGCGGAAUUGGAGAGGAAAGGAGAGGUGAAGGAGGAAGAGAGAAGGGUCAAUUUGGUAGGUUUGGAAUGGACGGUGACAGUAUUACCGGAAGAGGAGGAGGUGGAGGAGGCAGCAGCUGAUGGGUAGACGGCGAACCUGGAGGAAGUAGAGGCGGCGGCAGAAGCGGAGAUUGCCAUGUCGGAUACAAGCGGAGGAGGAGUGGAGAGGAUUGGGUUUGUUAUCUGGUUCUUGAACUUGGGGCGUACAAUGGGAUUUGGCUAUUUGCUUUGUUUUUCUUUUUUGUGAUUGAAUUUCGGUCAUUCUUCGACUCAGAUUCGCACACGUGGACUAAUGAAGCCGUCAACAAUUUUUUUGACGUGAACUCUCGUAUUCGACUCAUUCAUCGAUUAAUCCAAUCAAAAAAUUGUCUCGAGAUUAAAAUAUUUCUCUUAUUGUAAAAGAUUGAGCCUUAAUCCACCUUUUAAGUGCAACCACUGACACUACAAUUCUCGUCAACAAUUGCUAAACCUUCCUUCUUUCAAAUUUUCGAGUUAUAAAGCUAGUCUUGGUACAAGGCUUGGGCUAUUUCCUCUCCAUGAGAUUAUUAUGCCAGUUAAUAGUACGGCCAACAAUGCAUUAACGAAUGAGACGCUUAAUCACUUGUUGUUCUCAUGUCCUGACCCUGUGUUUAUUUCAUCGGUCGAGCCAUGCAAAUGUGAAUCUUUCUCAUCCCUCUCUCACCAUAGUAUUGCCUUUCGACAUUAUACCCAUCAUGUAAACUCGAUUUUGCUCACUUAUCGGGGUAAUUAUUUCGUCCAUUCAGUAACAUGAGAGGCAAAAAAAAAUUUCAUUAUCCUAACUAGAAAAGGAGCUAGAUAGUAUUUAGAAGGGGCCUGGCCCUGUCCGGGCUGUAGCGCAUGAAAUAUUUUAUAUAUAUUAAAGUUUUCGAAUGAGUAAAAAUAAAAAGAAAAUCAACAUAAUGCAAGAAUUUUAUGUUUGGUGUGAUGGUUGAAUGUUCUACUUUAAAAAAAUAAAUAUGGAGUUCAAAUUCAUCAAAUAGAAAAAUCAGCUGUAGAGGUUGGUUUGAUGGGGGAAUUGAGUGGGUAGUUUGGAUUUUAAAUUUUAAAAUUAGAAAUUUUGCUAAAUAAAUCGUUUGGAUUAGAAUUAAUGGGUGGAGAAUGUUAGAGAAUUGAAUUAUUGAUGUGGACUUUUAGAAAUUUUGAGAUCAUAUUAAAAUCACUAAUUUGAGGAGGAAAUUUUGAGAUAAUUCAUUUCAUUUCAUUUUAUUUUUGAAACCCAAAAUCCAACUAAACCUAAAAUUUAAAAUCAAAAUUCAAAAACUCAAUACUCUAAACUCUAUAAACCUUAAAUUUGAAACUCGAAAUCUAAAAUCCAAAAUUGAAAACCCAAUAUUCUAAACCCUUAAUACUUAAAAUCAAAACUCAAAAUUCAAAAUUCAAAAUUCAAAAUCCAAUACUCUAAACUCUAAAUUCUAAACCUUACAAUCCAUCCCAAAACCAAAAUCCAAAACUAACCCAAACUCAAACCUCAAACAAAUUAAAAAAAUAGGUGUGGGUCUUGAAAAAAUGCCCUCAACCCUUGGAUCUCUGAAGUCAAACUGUGACCGUUGGAUUGUGUCAUCAGCACCUGCUCAUAAUUCACAAUUCAGCACCCAAGCUAUUUUGCAAGACUAUAGUUUAUAACAUAUAUUAUACCAAUUAUUGGAUCCACGUGUUGGUGACUCGGUGGACAGCUACACGCACCAUAAAUAAAAAGACAGUUCCAUGAUUCCAUCUCAUUGUUAAAUAAUUUAAAUCUUAUUAUUAUUUAGUAUAUGAUGACAACACCAUGAUAUUAAAAAUAAUAUUAAACAACCGCCAUUGAUAUGAUUCUCGCUCUUCUCUCAGGUACCGCUCUCUGUUCCAGAACCAAAAAAGCAGGACACCGCACGUCCAUGGCGAAGCGCCUUCGGCCACUCGCCAAAAUCUGCAAUCACAAGCAGGCUGCAAAACCCCCCAACUGACUCCCUCCAGUACUAAAAAAAACAUAUCACAAAUACAGUCAAAAUCCCCAUGGACGUACGCUCAACUCAAACCCUACACAGCUAACUGAUGCCUCUUCCUCUCAGAUCUGAAUCGAAACAACCAUCCAAUCAAUCACAGACACACAUCUGUAAGCAUCUUAUGGAGUUUCUUUGUUCGGUUCUCCAAAGUGAACUCAUCCUCUCAUCGCCAAUUGCCCAAUUCCAAUGGCUUAGCAGCCAUUUAUCGACAGGUUUUCCCAACACGAAGAAAAUAAGGAUUCGGAAGUCGAUCUAAUUAAGUAAUAGACGACGGACUAGCAGUUUUAAGCAACGGCAACCGUGCCAGUCCGUACAGCUUUGGUGGAAGCAGAAGAUGGAGAAGUAACCGCAGAUCUAGUACUACUAUUAGCAGAGGAAGAAGGAAGAAGCGACUUCUUCUUCUUCUUCUUCCAGGCCGUCGCUGUCAUCAUCUCGCUGGAUUCGUCAACCUCUAUUUGCUCCUGCCUGCACUCCUUGCUACAGAAAGGAGUAUUCCCUCUGGCACAAGCCAAAACCCAACAAAAAAAAAAAGCGGAAAGAAAUCAGAAGGGCGAAAAAAUUCAGAAAAGCUAUAGAUCAACAGAGAAGUAGAAUUAUACCUGUACAUGAAGAUGUCGGAGUUGGAAGGGAGAGGUUUGUGGCAGAGGAAACAUGCAUCAAGGAAGUGAGGCUGCUGCUGCAACCUUUCGCCGGAUCCGUAAGAGUAGCCCAGAUACAUGAUGGCGAUGAAGGAAUUGGAAGGAAGAGCAGAGUAGAUCGGAGUUUGGGUUCUUCUGAACAAGUUUAAGGGAGAAUUUGGAGGAGCGAAGGGGGAGGGAAGGAAGUAGCUCAUCUGCGUAUGCGUUAUAUAUAUAAAAAAUUAACAUAAGGUGGGCGGCAGCAGCAGCAGCCAGAAAGGCAGAAACCACCCCACUGCCUUGAUAAAAACAAUAAUAAAUAAACUGUGUCAUGGUUUUAGCUAUUUAUUUUAUUGAAAAACAAUGAAGUUGAUGGUUUUACUGCGGUUUAUAUUUAUAUUUUAUAUUAAAUUUUAAUUGAUAAAACAUUUUGAAUUUGGACCGUUUUAAUAAAUAUAUUUUUUCAUUAAAAAUUUGUUUAUUAUAUUAAUUGUAUACGUCUUAUAAACUUAUCUAUCAACGUGUCAUAAUUAUUUGUUGAUUGUAAUUCUAUUAAAGUCAAAAUUAUUAUUUUUAGAUAAACUCAAAAUGCCUAAGUUGCUAUUUUUUAAAAUUUAUGAAUUUAUGAUUUAAAUAAAAAUAGAUAUAAAAUUUUUAGUUUUUAAUUUCAUAUUUUGAGUCGAACGGAACUCAUUCAGUAGAUGAAUAGGUUAAAUUGAUGUGGCGUGUACAAUUAAUAUAUUAAAUAUAAUUUAGAUGAAAAAUUUAAUAGAAUGAUGUAUUUGUUAAAAUUUAAUAAAGGGUUUCAAUCGUAAAUUUUGCUUGUAACUGUGUAUUUCAAGAAUAAUAAUUGAAGUAGUAGUUGUUAAAAAAAAAUUGUAAAUAAUUGAGUGACACGUACGGUGGGAGACUUCAGUUGAGGAGGAGUAGACUUGGUAGAAUCAGGUGCUCCACGGUCCAACUAUGGUUACGCUGUUCUUCAAAUUUUGUACACGAACCUUUAAAUCUGAGCCGUUCAUUCUAGAUCUGUUGGUUGAAAAUUUACGAGGAAAUACGAACAAACUAAAAAAAAUUGCCAUCACCCAAACGUCACUGCUACGAGCCCCAAAUUUUCACGGCGAAAAGUUUAGUCAGCGAGAACGAAGAAAUUGAAGUCGAAAGUGGGAAGCUCGAUCUCGAUGACACGAACAACUCCGCAUUGGUCGAUUCCUUCCGGGGAAGAGACUCCUUUCUACUUGGAGAGCCACCAGUCGGAUUUCGGCUCCGCAAGGUGAGAGUUUCCACCAGUGGAAUCUCAUAUGCACAUUGCUGCUAAAGAAUAACCCGCAAGUUAAGAUAAUCCAUGAAUAGUCCGAAUGCCGCCUCGUAAGUUUCCAACAUGAUCUUGAGGUAUCUCACUUCUGAAACCUCCUCCUAGGCACAAUGCAUAUGUUUGCUUAAUUGGCGCUUGCAUGUCAAAUGUCCAGCUGGGCUGGCCAAGGACCAGUCUUUCUGCCCAAUUGUUUGAACCCAUUUACUGCUGCAAAUAUAUGUUGGGCUUUAAGCCCUCAACAGAAACCAGAUGUCUUCUUCGACUUCUUCCCCACCGCUCACCUGCGCCGCCGAUGCUGAUGCACAUCACUACAUCACAAGUGGAAGCCGUCGGGGUUGGCGCUGAACUUUCGGCGAGAGAAACAGAGAGAUGAGUGGAGGGCUUUAGUCUGUAGCAAUCUCAAAAGAUAUAGUUCAAGAGGGCGCUUCGGCUAAGGCGUACGCUCUUCAUCUGGUCGCCAUUUCCUUAGUUUCCGUCAACCGUCUCUCGUCGCUGCAGAAGUAGUAGAGGACGGAUCGGCAGGUCCACAGCCAUUUCGAAUCAAUGGCAGCUGGAAAAUCUCAAGUGGAAAGGCAGCCGAUCAUAUGGCGAAAAAACCUCGUAUGGUUCUUCGGUGUAGCAGCGUGCGUUAAACUCCUCCUGAUCCCGUCAUACCACAGUACUGACUUCGAAGUCCACCGUCACUGGUUGGCUUUGACCCGAUCCCUUCCCAUCUCUCAAUGGUACUCUGAUGAAACCAGCCCUUGGACGCUAGAUUAUCCGCCUUUCUUCGCCUACUUUGAGUACAUUCUCUCCUUCUUCGCUCGGCUCGUCGACCCUCGGAUCGUCGACAUUAACAAGGGCAUCAACUAUAAAGCCAACACCGUCGUCUAUUUCCAGAGAAUUACGGUAAUCUUAUCCGAUCUGUGCCUUUUAUACGGGGUAUACCGAUUGACCAGGAAGUUGGAGGGUAAAUCUAAGGUUUUGAUGUGGACAUUUGUGGUCUGGUCUCCGGCGCUUGUGAUUGUCGACCAUAUACAUUUUCAGUACAACGGGUUUUUGCUUGGGCUGUUGAUGCUGUCCAUUUCUUAUUUGCAAGAUGGGAGCGAUUUGAUGGGGGGAUUUCUCUUCGCAGUGUUGCUGUGUUUUAAGCACCUGUUUGCGGUGGCUGGACCUGUUUAUUUUGUUUACUUGUUGAGACAUUAUUGCCGCGGUGGAUUGCUCAAGGGUGUUGGAAGGCUCUCCAUCAUGGGAGCUGUUGUGGUGUCUGUUUUUGCAGCUGCAUUUGGUCCAUUUUUCUACCAGGGCCAGGUAAAGAUGGCUCACCUUUCAUUAUCUCCUUCUUGCUUGUUUAUUUACUGGUAGCCCUUUUACUUGACAAAUGGUUAAAAGAGAAUUGAGGAUGGUUUUGUCUUCGGAGUAGCUGUAGUUUGUCUAUUGUAUGAUCUCGAAUGAGACGUACUUUCCCGAUAUGUAUACGUGAAAGAAUCACCUAAUUGACUUAUGUUCAGGGUUUAAGCUUCGGUGCAAUACUAAUACUUUUAAAAUGUAAGACAUGUGUAAUACUUAUACUUAUGAAUCCAUUUGGAAUUGUGGCCUAUGUGAUGUUAAUGUAUAAUCGGUCAACUGAAGUCUUACAUGUAUUUACUCGUCUUACGUAGUGCAUUUAUUCUAUGAUGAUCCGUACUGUGCAGAUUCAACAAGUGAUCAGCCGAAUGUUUCCUUUUGGCAGGGGACUUUGUCACGCAUACUGGGCUCCGAAUUUUUGGGUCUUCUACAUUAUAUUAGAUAAAGGCCUUGCUUUUCUGCUUAGAAGACUUGGGUUGGAAGUCCCAACACCAGCAGCUUCAUUCACGGGCGGGUUAGUUGGGGAUUCAUCUCCUUUUGCAGUAUUACCACAGGUGACCUUGUCUAUUUAUUUAUUUUGCCUGUGCUGCAUCUAUAAUGUUGAAGAGAGAAGUUUUCUCUGCGUUCAUUCAUGGAUUUUAGCCUGCAUUUUCAAUUAAGUCUCAUAUACUCUGCUUACCAUCGAAGACUGGUACUUUUUCUGUGGGAAGCAAUGUGUGACCUAAUAUGAAGCAUGGCCAACUUGCAUCUGUUAUUCUUCAUUGAGUGUGAAAAAACAUAAUUGUGUCUUGUGUUCCUGAACUUGAUUUGCAUACUUUCUCGUUUGACUCCCGUGUGGUCUGAACUCUGAUGUAAUAAUAAUAGCUUCAUAUAAUGCAAAUAAACAGGUGACUCCCCUGACAACUUUCACCAUGGUGCUACUGGCUAUGUCUCCUUGCCUUGUUAAGAUAUGGAAGAAUCCUCAGCCAGGGUCGGUUGCCAGAUGGAUAUCCUAUGCUUAUACCUGCGGGUUUCUAUUCGGAUGGCAUGUACAUGAGAAGGCAUCACUCCAUUUUGUCAUACCUCUUGCUAUUGUUGCAAACCAGAGCCUGGAGGAUGCUAAGCAUUACUUCUUGCUAUCAAUCGGUAAGCUGAUUUUGUUUGCCUUUGGUGAAUUUGAACUAAUGAUGUGAUGUAGCAAUUUUAGACAACUCUGAACUCUUCCUUCAUGAGGUACUGGUAUAUCUACUAGUAUUACUGCAUUAUAAACUGACAUGUGGCAUUCUUAUCUACACUUUUCUGCAGCAACGUGUUACUCGUUAUUUCCACUUCUAUACGAGGCCCAGGAAUAUCCUAUCAAAGCUGUGUUAUUACUGCUGCAUUGCAUGCUGAUGUGGUUUGGCUUCAGUGCCGAAUUUGGCAAGGCCAAUGUAGCUAAGAAGUCAGCCAUCUCAGAUAAGACUUCCAGCACAAGCCAGAAAAAAGAAGAGGAAGAACGAGAAUUCGUGAUGGGACUAGGGGUGAAGUGUUAUAUUAUGGGUAUAGUAGCUAUGGAGACAUGGGGACAGUUGUUGCAUCCUUACUUUCUGGGUGAAAAGCUUCCAUUCAUACCACUUCUGUCCAUCUCCAUCUAUUGUGGGAUUGUGGUAAUGUACUCUUGGAUGUGGCAGCUUAAACGGAUAAUGGUGUGAACUGGUAGAUAGCUGAAUUCCUGCCCAGAGAGAGACAGAGUGAGAGAAAAGUUUUCAUUUGAAGCAGAAAGAUUUGAGUUUAUCUGAUACUUAUUUAAUGUUGGCUUGCAAUGUGCUGUUGUUACCUUUUUUUGUCAGUUGAAUUGGGGGACUUCCCUAGAACAAUAUAAAUGGAACAACAACUUUUUGUUUGUCGUUAUUGAUCUGCGUCGUCAUCUACAUUUAAUCUGGAGCUGACAUUGCCAAUAGCAAACUAAACGGAGAAUUCAUGAAUCACAACUAGAAAGAAACAUCUAGCUGAAAUCAGUUACCAUGAAGAAGGAACAGGGGGUUUGAGGAUGAUCUUCUACUGUAUGAGGAUAAGAUAGAAACCACCGUAACAGGGGGUCUCAGGAUGAUCUUCUACUGUAUGAGGAUGGACAUAGUGAACAGUACUCUGCCACUACUUGACACAUUGAGAUGAUUACUAGCCAGAAUCGUCAGCAGCAGCAAUGGCAAUCCCAACAGGAGGUAACUAACUAUAUUGCUCAUGCUCUUUCUGGAUUCUGAUGAAUGGCCUUCAUUAAUCUCGUUCAUUGUUGAUGUGAUUCUCCUUUUUGACCUUUAGUAUCCUAUUUGAGUUUGAUCUUUUUAAAUUGUAUCCCAUGGAAAAGUCAGGAGGCACACAAUUAAGACCUGUUCAGUAUUCUCCAACUACUUAAGUCCAGUUGAGAUGUGUUAUGUUAAAGCUCGAUCGAACAUCAGUUUUGUCUCCUGAUAUUUUGUUGUGACAGUCUGCUGGUAUGCACCCUGCUGCAGAAUUUGUUGCAAGAAAACGUACAAAUCAAUGUUGUAACAGUAUCCUUUUUUGUCUUCUCUGUCGUCUGUUUCCAAACUGGCAGGGGUUGGAUUAUGGCCAAUAUGAAUAUGAAUGCCAACGAUCAGGUUUGUAUUAUUUGCUCGUUCUUCUAUAGUGGAUAUUGAAACUGCAUAGAAAUAUGUUGUAGUAGAUUCACUGGUACCAUGAUACUUAGGAAUAUGUUGUGAAUCUGGUCCACCUACCCUCGACUUAACUGCUACUGCUUAUUAGACUAUCUGUCGACUGAUUAGAUCAUUCAUGUGAUGUGACGUGGUGGGGUAUAUGAGUUUGAUGAGUUAGUUGAAGUGAGGGGGAAGAGUUGAUUUGUUGGAAAGUGAGUGAAGAGGAUAUGCAUCUGGUGUGGAGGAAGGAAGGAGAAGAGAGGAGAUGAGGCGAUCAGGAUUGUUGCAUGUUUUUUACCAAUAUGGCUGAAACAAGUAAAACAACUUUGGUGGGAAUUUGUCUUUCAUUCUAAUUUGAGCAGUCAACUCUUGCAGCUAUGUACGGAUGCAGCGAUGAUUGAUGAUAUCGUCAAAUGAAAAAGUAUGGGGUAUCUCUCUGAUAUCUAACCCUUUUGGCGGAAUCUAAGUAGGAGUUGGUUACAAGCUUAGACAAGGACAAAGAGAAAGACCAGCUGGAGGUAGAAUCUUAAUUCACAUCCUUUUGAGAAGCAAACUCUUUCAACUCUUUUUUUUUGCAGUUAUGACACGAGACAUAUGACACAGUUUGGGUUGUGUUGAAUAGUAGAAUGAAUGGGGAUAAAGAAGAUUGAUGACACAAGUCUGGAGCUAGGAGCAUGCCAAGAGAAGAGUGAUGAGGGGUGAAGCAAAGUGAUGAAUGGGAAGUGGGAACAGUACUAGGUGAUGCAAGUGUGCCAUUUCUUCUGAUGAUUUCUUCUUCUGGUAGGCCUGAAAGUGAAAUGAAAGCCCUUAGCUUAUUAAAUGAGAGUUGGGACUGCCGAGGGGGGUGGGUUGGUUCCAGGGCUUUAAAUUUUGCUAGCUAUCUUCAUAAAUGCUGACUAAAAGUAAUAUUAGUACUGGGAAGGAAAUGCACAGAGUUAUGGAAGAGAGGUGCGGUGGUCUGUCUGUCUGUCUGUCCGUCUGUCUGUCUCGUACCAAAGGAAGAACAUGCUGUGGUAAAUUAAUUAUGUUAUAAUUAAUCGCACCACUUAUCCUUUCAUUCAUCUACUCUUUAUUAUUUUAAUUAAAUAAUAAUUAUGUUAUUACGUUCUGCAAAUAAAUGAUUUUGUCAACUUCGCUCGCUAGCCGCAGUGCAUGUGCAUGUGAUUCUAACUAAUAUUACGUCCUCCACUCAAUUGGACAUGUAUGAAGUUGAGUAUUUCCAUUAAAAGUGUAUUAAGUAAACUCUUUUUAUUAUUAUUUUUUUUAAUAAUAAAAAAAGGAAAAUGUGUGAAUUUUGUAAUAAUUAAUAAUUAAGUAAACUCUUUUUUUUUAAUAAUGAAAGAGUGACAANNNNNNNNUAAUGAAAGAGUGACAAAGAGUAUAUAUAAUGUACAUGCCCUUAUUAGAGAUGGAAGAAUAAUAUUUAUAAUCGUGUACUUGUACAAGGUUGCCUUAUCUCAACGGUUAGUGUGAUCAGCAAGAUCCUACUCGGUAGCUUAAGGCGGUUCGUUGANNNNNNUAAGGUAUAGGCAAAAACCCUAUUUAUGAUGAACUGAGUUUGUUGUAAGUUAUUAGACUUGGUUUCCACAUAACUCCUUAACGAUCUAGAUGAGGCCUAUUGAAAUCAGACGAUCAUAUUUAGACGGUCAAUCAAACAUGAUUGACCUUAUGUUUAAUUAUUUUCACCCACCAAUAUAUAACUUAUUGACAUUCGAUAAAAUUGAAAUAUGUCCGUUUUCAUUGAAAAAAUGAUAAAAAGAUUAUUAUAGGAUAAUAGAACACUAUACUGCACUAUCAUUUAUUAUUUUUAUUUUAGAGGAUAAUUUAUUUACUUUUUCGGUGUUUAAACUUAAUAAUGAACACUUGUUUCGAAAAAAAGAAAAACUUAAAUAAGGACAGUGUGAAGUGAAUGGUUGAUGCACCUAAUUUAUUGAAAUCGAGAGAUACGAAAAAAUCGACCUUUCUAUCGAAUUUCUUCGACAUUGUCGCUCUUCUCAUCUUACCAUCUCUCGUUGAUGUUCCUCCCUAACAAGGAUUCAUUUUCCAUUUUUGUAGCGGUGUAUUUAUGAGUUUAAAUUAUCUAUUUUUUCGAUAGGAAAAAUUGAGAUAGUACAAACACAAUAAAUAUAAUCAUCAACCUAAAUUGUGAGAUUUGAUCUCUAUACGGACAGAGAGAUAUGAAAAAGCCUUUCACGCCAAUUAUUUGCAGAUGCAAGCGAGAACAAACCGCUAGAAAAUCCAAGACUUUUGCGAUGACUACUCCACCAGCCACCUAUCGAGUGCUCUUACAUAGUAGUCGGAGCACAAACUUCAGGUCUUCUCAAUAUUCACCUGUCAAACCCCCUACGGUAAGUAUCAAGCAGAAACUUUUUUUUUUUUGCAAAAAGAAUGCGCCGAAGUGCCUUAAUUGUUAUUAGAAUCAAACGGCACAAAUUGUGAUAUAAAAACACCAAUCAAAUUAUAAUUCAACCAGUAAACAAAUUCAUAUCUGACGAAUCAAAUUACCUGUAAUAUAAUUAACUUGGUAAUAAAUAGGACAAAUCUCUUCUUUUUCUUUUGAAAACAAACAAGAGUUAAAAAAUAAAAACACACGAAUUCAAAACCUUUUCCCCAUGAACAAAACCACCCACCCAACAUCCGCAGCUUAUACAUUAAUGAAGCAAGUUUCCAUAGUUAAUGAUGAGAGUGAACACACACAAAUUCAAAAACUUUACCCUUCUUUUUCGUGUGUUUCUUCCUCCGCUUUCUCCGCAUUCCCAGAAUUCUCACUCCUUAUACAUAUAAUUACAGGGGGGGGACGCUCUGUUCCUGGGCAGGCAGAGUCCAAAAACAAUGUCCAUCUCCAUUCCUCCUCCUCCUCCUCCUUUCUUUCCUCUGCCUGCAAAUCUCUCACCUCCGUUCAACUCCGUCGAGGCUCAUCCUUCCUCUCCUUUCGACAACCUCAAACCGAGCAUCCUCAUUAUCAUCCUCGUCCUCUCUAUCACUCUCCUAGUCUCCGUCUCCCUCUGUUUCGACAACCUCAAACCGAGCAUCCUCAUUAUCAUCCUCAUCCUCUCUAUCACUCUCCUAGUCUCCGUCUCCCUCUGUCUCCUCCUCCGUCUCCUCAACCGCCGCUGUCUCCACCUCUCCUCCGCCGCUUCCACCACUACCACCACCACCACCACAGAUUCUCACCGCCACGUCACCAACAAAAAAAANNNNNNNNNNNNNNNNNNNNNNNNNNNNNNNNNNNNNNNNNNNNNNNNNNNNNNNNNNNNNNNNNNNNNNNNNNNNNNNNNNNNNNNNNNNNNNNNNNNNNNNNNNNNNNNNNNNNNNNNNNNNNNNNNNNNNNNNNNNNNNNNNNNNNNNNNNNNNNNNNNNNNNNNNNNNNNNNNNNNNNNNNNNNNNNNNNNNNNNNNNNNNNNNNNNNNNNNNNNNNNNNNNNNNNGAGCGUCUGCGCCAGCGCAGCGUCACACGCCGCCGCGGGCAUCGAUCGCCGGAGCUCCUACUCGAUCGGCGGCGGAUCGUUCGACUACAUCGUGGACGAGGAGGACUACGCGGAGGUCGCGUUGAAUCAGACUCAUGACAGUCACAGGAGAAGCGUGUCGGAGAAUAAGGAGGAAGCGGAUGAGCUCGCGGCGGAGGUCGGAAGGAGCAGCUGGCUCAAGGACUGCGUCGACAGACUGUUGGCGGCGAUGGCGUUGAGAGCGGGGUCUUUUUGGAGCUCGGGGUGGUGAAUCUCACUGCUAGCUUAGUUUUACUAGUAAACAAAACCCCUUAUCGUCACUCCAUUAUAUACUAAAUAGUAUUUUCACUUGCAUAUCUCUUGAUCUGGAAUUGGCUGUGCAGGACAUUCGAUUUCGUAGUAGAUCGAGUUUGGAAUGGAUCGUUGCAGAUUAAACAUGGACCAUUCUAUUGUUGGUCGAUCAGUCACUUGAACGGUGAUUUUUGAAAGAUACCUUACUUGUUUCUUUUUUGACGACCGCCAUUGAAGCAAAGGUGACUCGAAGUGUUGCUGUCUGUAUAGCAAUGAAUUCUGAUAGAAUACUGCAUUGACUUAAUCUCCAUCCGAUUGAACAUGGAAGAACAACUCUCAUUGUUGGCCGUCUUCCUCCCUGUAAACCCUCUGCUUCCUACGUCUUAUGAAUUGGUGGUCCAAAGGUUGAUUGCUAUUACUGGGAUUUGGUAUGCUGCUACUGCAGUGUCCCCUCAAAUGGAGGGGUGCAAUUCAAUCGUUGUCGUGCUCUCUCAAAACUGCAACCUCCGCUCCGCUGGCAGCUUACCACAUAGCUUUUCUCUCAGUUUUCUGUUACGUGAAAUGGUAAUGGAGACAAGGAUGAUUGGAUUGCCACAUGAACGAGAAGUGCAGUGUGGUAAAGUUGCCAUCUGUCACAUGGGGCCGGACACUUUUUAUCUUUCUUUUUUAUAUAACUAUCCAACUUCAUUUCUUAGGAUACAAAUGAUGACAAAUCCAUAUUGUCACAUAGGGAGAUUUGGUCUGGUGGUGGUACAAAUCCAUAUUGUCACAGCACCAACGCAUUUUUCAUAAAUUCAACCACUUUAUCUAAGUAUGCGUAACGAACGUAUUUCUCAUAAAUUCAACCAUUUUAUGUUUCAAAAGAGACGACAAAGCCCUACAUACUUUGUCGAUCAUGGUCAUGAUCGGCCAUUUUACAAGUAGUUAAAAUUAACCAUCAUUUAUUAGUUUACACCGCAAAGACCAUUGCUCACGACUCUACUUCAAUUUUUUUUUCGAAAAAAAGGUUGUUGAUAUAUGAUUAAUGCGUUAAAUUGAGACAAAUAUUGUUUACAAACGGAUCACACCAAUAAAGAGAUAUCACACCAAAGGCGGUGGACACAAGAUGAUGAGAGCGACGAGCUAACUCGUGCGUCAGCUCAAUUCUAUUUCUCUUAACCCAACAAGCCGUGUAAAGAGGUUAUUCUUGCAUCAAGUAAUUUUUUUGGGUGAACUCUGGUAUUCGACCCAUUGGCGGAUUAAUCCAGUCAAGGAAUUGUCCCGGGGUUAAGAUUUUUCAAACCUUGAUCCGUCCUUCAAAAUGCAGAUUCUGACACCACUACACCAACCACGGUCCAUCAAGUAACGCUUGGUCAUAUCGGAUCACCUAUGAGGCUUUGAGGCCUCAUUAGGCUAUUAUUAGUUACGGGCUUUGGUGACGUCGGGUCUGAAACUGAAUAGCACAUUUGUAAGGCAAUACUGGUAAUGGGCCUAUGAACCCACUAAACGGUAAGGAAACGAAAAGGAAGACUCCAGAACUUCCGGCUUAGUCAUCUCCUAAGGAAAGGAUAGACCUAGAACAAGAAGAAGGGGAAGAAGAAGAAGAAGAAGAAGAAGCAGAGAGAACCAGGGUUUUAGUAUUGAGCUAGCUCACCGCAACACUCAUCGUCAAAUGGCGUCCACUGCAUUUGCCACAGUCAGGUUACCAGUACCCUCAUUGGUGGUCAACCCCAACCCUUCCGUUUCUCGUGCUCGACCUACCCUUCUUGGUAAGAAUGUCCCAACUCUUUCCCUUCCGUCGUCUUAUCCAUCUCAGUCAUUUGUCUCCAUUUCGUAUGUGUUCCCUCGCCAAUUCCUCUUCUUCAUCAUCCCUGUCAGGUUCGAGAAGAAAUUCUCUCAGAAUCCAGGCUGUCUCUAAGCAAUGGGAACCUACUAAAGUAUCCUUUUCGCUCCUCUUCCCCUUUUGCGCAUUAACUUUUUUGAUAAUUCCAACCAUUUUCAUGCCGCUGUUGAUUUCCAGGUUGUGCCGCAAGCUGACAGAGUCCUCAUCCGUCUUGAAGAGCUCCCCGAGGUUCGCAUUUCGCUCUAGUCUUCUUUUGCCAAAUUUGACUUUCAGCGUCCUGCCUUGUCCAGGGUUGAUAGGGGUUUAUCCGUUUAGGGAAUGAUGGGAAUGUGCUGUAUCUGCCUCGAUAAUUUGGUUAUAAUGCUGCGAAAUGCUCUGGAACAAUUUGUUGAUCUGGCUAGCUAGCUUUGGUCUCUAAUUGCAGUCCUGAUUUUUUGCCAUUUUGUACGAGAAAUGAAUUGAACUUGUUGGUGGUGCAGAAAUCGGCAGGGGGAAUCCUUUUACCUAAGUCAGCUGUUAAGUUCGAGCGAUACCUUGUUGGGGAGGUAACAAAUUCGAAUUGUUACCUGCAUAUAGAAAUAUGGGUUCUCAGUCGCUCUGAUGCUUUGAGGUGUAUCUAACCAUCUCUUUGUUGAUUUGAAUGGUUGGUAUCAGGUGUUGUCCGUUGGUGCAGAGGCUGAGCAGGUCGAGGCCGGCAAGAAGGUGAGGAUAUCGACCAUACAAUGAUGCUAUUUAUUCAUAUUGGCACCCCAGUUUCUUGACGUAUUCUGUCUUGUUCUGGCAGGUUCUUUUAUCUGACAUCCAUGCUUACGAGGUUAGUAAAGUCAGUAUUUUAUCUUUUAGUUUCUUGGUGGCUCAAUCGAAUUUAACAUGUUUGCUGUCAUUUUCACUUGUAAAUGGUUGCCAACCGAUGCAUGCUUCCGAACUGUCGACAACUGAAUACGAAGCAAAACCACAAGAUAUAAGCCUCUCUAGCGCUUUAGCACUAACUUAGAUUGCACUGCUUGGACACAAAAUGGACAAGCCAUUGUGUGAGGCUGUGAAACAUAUAUGAUAUUGAUUCUAGACUUCUAGUGAAUUUCCAUGUUUUAGGGCUAGCCAUCCCAUGCUUGUUUCACUAGCCAGCAAAGAGCGUUUGGUUUACCAAUUAGGUUGUAGUAAUUCUGAAUGUGAUACCAUACUCUUGCGAUGCAACAAUUCUUAGGAGUAUUACAAACCUUACAUGGACGAUCCAUGAUAGAUCAUACCAACUUAUCAUGAAUUUGGUGGUUAAUAAGGUCACGAUAUUUAUGAAAAGAUGUAAGAAGAUACAUUUAUAUUUUGUAACAUUAUACUACACUUUUGGCAUCUGAGUAAUCUACAUUAGUUGAUGUCUUAUUACCAGAUCUCUUAACUUCCCCAUUUUCUUACUAGAUUUUGUUUCCUUUGAAGCUUUGUUAAAGUCGGAUUGUGUGGUUGAACUGUGCAGGUGGAUUUGGGAACAGAUGGCCGGCAUUGUUUUGCCAGAGCUAGUGAUUUGUUGGCUGUGGUUGAGUGAGUAAAGCUUCUGUUGCUUUGGCCUAAUGCAUCGCAUCCUUGGAUAACGAAGUUUAUAGCAGAUGAAACGUAUCGUUGCCCUCUGUUUCGAGUUUCGUUUUUGAAAGCCAUAUCUGUAUGUGACACUGAACUCUGCGGCACUAGCCAUUUUACGUAGCUUAUGGAUAAGACUGUAAGCGGUUGUUGGAACAAUCUCUCUUACAUGAGUUGUCUGUCAACGUUUUCACCAAAGUCAAAAUGUUGAUGAUUUAUUAUGAAUUUCACAACUGUCGUUUACAGAGGUACCCGUUUGUAGUAGUAGUUUCGAAACUGUAAUGUACAGGAGGAGUUCUAGGAGGUGAAAGCAAGGAGGGGCGUACGUAGCAAAUUAAUCAGCCUAUACGGAGCAGGUUGAUGAUGGAUAGAGAGAUUGCACACAGCUGAAAUCUGUCCCUGUUUCUAGUCGUUAGCGGGGAGACGGAGUCCUCCGGUCUGUUGACAAACUGGUCUUCGCAAGUUGCAGAUGCAUCGAGAACCAAACCCACCUUGAUGUUGGCAUCCAUGAAGCUCCCGUACUUGAUGCUUAUGAUGGCCGGUUUGAGGGAAGGUAUGGUGUCGGAGUAGAGCUGAAGGCAGUCCUGUAAGCAUGCCUGGACGUAAGGGUCUGUCAUGGAAUUAGCGUUGUCGUGGUCGGAGAGGAGGUGGUUGAUGAAGCACUUGGUGUUGGUGGCAUUGUGGUGGAUCAAGUUUAUGGAGAUGACGGCUAGCUUGGUGAGAUCGGGGUCGGAUCCUGGAUGGGUGGCUGCUUGAAGGGGAGUUAGGCAGAAGUCGUAGGAGAUGUUUGGAUCGGUGUUGGCAGAUUUCAUGCAGGUAGAGUUGAUGAUGUUGUGAUUAGCGGAAGCAUCAACGAGGAGGCAACAUUGUAGGGCGAUGAAGAAGAGGGGUGAGAACGUAAGAGAAUGGGCGAGGAUCCUCCAUUGGAGAGGAGAGAAAUGAGGAGGUGGUGGUUUUCAGAGGGGAAGUAGUAUGAUCAAGGAUGGAUGGGUUAUAUAAUGGAAAGUGGAUGGUGGAUGGAUUUGAAAGUUUAAUGAUGUUGUUGCUAUCUGCUUGAACUUGUCCCACUUUGUUUGGGCUGCACCAACGAUGUGUUCGCACAAGACUAUAACCGGCUAGCCAUAAUGUGUACUCUACUUUCGUAGAUAAAAAUCAAAUUUGACGUCCCAUUAUGGGGUUGUCUAAGUACAAUACACUCCCUUCAAAACCUCAAUUGUUUAUUUCCUUCUAUAAACCUCGACCACAAAAUUAAGGGGAUCGUGCAUUGGGCCUCUACCAAGCAGUCGAAUAACACAUCGAUAGGGGGCGUUAUGCGUCUCAGACAAUCGAGCGAUCGAACCAAAAGUUCCUUUGAUGAAGAGACUAUUUUCAAUAUUGGUUUUAAAUAAAGUCUCUCGUUGGGAGCUAUCUAUGAUAAAAAAAAGAAAUUAUUUUCAAUCACUAUGAUUCACUUCGAGCCCUUCUUAACCUUGCGAUACCCUUUAGAGUUGUUCUUGUAGAAUUAUGAUUAUCAUCAAUAUCGCUCUCAAUGUAAAUGAAGUAGAAUAAGGACUUGCUCGUAUUUGUGCUUCAUCCUCUUGCAAGAUGGGGCCGUUCAUUGCACCAAUCUACACAAGUAUAUUCACUUUUGAUUAAAAUACUAAAAAUUAAAAAUUAAUAAUAAUGUUUAAGUAAGUUGAGGAAAUGUUAGGGGAAAAAGCGAGAGUUAAGCCUAGUUGUAAUAAUAGUUUUUAAUUUCUUCGAUCUUCUUCGUCUUUUUGAUUUUAUUUUAGACUUUUAUUAUAAGCUGUGUCUUUCGUAGGAAAAAAGUUGUAUUGUUACCUCUUGCAGGAAAAAAGUUGUUUUAUUGCCUUUUGUAAGAGAGAACCCCCCUCUCCGAAACCAUAAAUGUCGCCCCGUACUCACCAUAACCACCAUGACCGCCCUACACUCGUUUGCUUCUAACGUCUCCAUUGUCACCAACGUCGCCAUUACUGAUAAUGUCGGCGACGUCACCAACGUCUCCAACGUCGCCAACGUCGUCAUCGCCACCAACGUCGCGAGUAUUGUUGUUGCUAUACCGAUAAUCACCGCCGUUACUGCACCCCUACCCGCUUCCACGAAACACUACCAGGACAUCACCCUGCGUCACCAACCGGUCAACCAAGGGCGACCGGUCCGGUUCACUGAACUUGCGAGUUGGAACGGCUAAAAUCCUAGUCUUCCUUAGCAGUUUAAAUAGGGAUAUUGCUAAUCACAUCCAAAUUUACUAGUUUUUUUUUCUAGUUUUAUUUCUAACUUCAACUUUUUUUUUGUUUAUGGUUUGUGUUUGUUUUGUUGGUGAUUGUUAAUGCCCUUAUUUUUUAUUUUUAGGGUGAAUCUCUAUUGGGUUGUCCGUUUGUUGGAGAGAGAGGAUUGAGGUGUUUGCUAUUGUAAAGACCCGCGAUUCAUGCUAGUCUCGUAGUUGAGAACUACACCCUCGAUGAGACUUCUUGUAUGCCUCACAUUGUUAUGCCUUGAUAAGGAACAUAGAUGAUAUGAUUUUUUGUCAAAAAAAGUUAAGGAAAUAUUAUCCACAAUCAAAUAAUAAGAAUUUUUGUAUGAAUUAAUGGCGAUGAGUAUGGAUUUUGUAAAAAAUAUUGACAAUAAUAUGAUAAAAAAGAUAAAAAAAUUAUAAUAUUAUCUUGUGAACAUCAAGGAGAUAAUAAUGACGUGACCCGCUCAAAAUUGGUUGAGUUGGUUCACUCGCCACAGUUUAUAGAUUCUAUGAAUAGUUGGUUUUUGGUUAAUAUUUAAAUAUUAAUCGAGUCAGGUGGGGCUGAACCGGGCUUUGGUAGGUCUUAUUUGAUUUCAAAUCCGGUUAUGUGCAUAUUUCGGUACUGGUUAGUGGUUAGCGCCGAACAUUGUCUUCUCCGCAAAAGGCCGCAAAACUGGGCGAACCAAACGGGAACGUCGCAUCGGCCAAAACCCCUGGCCGGAUAAUUGCAAAACCUCCUCCGGUGUAUUUUUCACUUCUUCUCAUCUUUACAGUCCCAAGCACAAAAUUAUAGCGUUUUUUGUUUCCAUGGCGGCAUAGCUUGAGAGAAACCCACCAGUAGCAGUAUUAUUUAACUCCAAAACGGCCUCUUCUUCUUUUUUAUAUGAACCGAUAAGGCAGGCAGGCUUACAUAACAGUAGUAGUCAGUCAAAGAAGCGAUAAGAAUGGCGAAUCUCCGGACGGCAAUGGAUUCAGCAUUCUGGGACCAGCCGGUUUCCUCUCCGGAAACCCUAGAUGGCUGCGUGCGCUCAGUACCAAGCCAAGCAUUCCCUCUGGAAAUCUCUAGAGCUAGCCGAGCCCUCCGCAUUCAACAGCUCUCCAUCCUCAGUCGUGUUUUCCCGCUCGGAAUUAUCCCUUCCAUUUCCCCAACUCCCCACGACCCCCAACUCGGCUCCCUCGCUUUCCAGUCCUCCUUCCUCAAGCUCUCCCUCUCCAAUUGGUACACUACACCCCCUCUCCCUCCCAUUUCUCUACUCUUUACUCUUUGCUUCUUUAUGGUGGAAAUGCAGAAUCUGAGAUGACUUGUGUUUGGGGAAUGCAGGUGGCUUGGACUGGUUGGCCAAUUCCGCCCCAAGAAACUCAUUUCAUCCAUCAAGCGAGAUUUCUUCAAUGGAGGCUCCCCUGAGUUCAAGAAUGUGGGAAAGCAUGUGUUGGACGAAUCACUCUACUCCAUAGGUGCUUACACUCAAUUCUCCCCAAUUCCAUCCACCUCCCUCUUGCUCUCUACUGAGCGCCAUGGCGACAAGAAGACACCUCGCCACAAACUCAUGCUCUACCACCAGGUACGCCACCCAACCCCUUCCACUUUUUUUCCAGCUUCAUUUUUGCUUCAGUUGAUUUAUUUAGAUUGUCAAAAACUAUCUAGUUAUAUAUAGAGCUUUCUGAAACAAAUUAUAUAUAGAGCAGUCAAAUGGGUGGGUUAGUUGAGUUAAGGAUCACGGAUUCAUCGGACUUACAGUUUCAUUUGGCCAUGAAUUGAUUGAAUUACGCUCAGGCACUUCAUUUUUGUUACAGCUUCGUAACCACGACAUUACUUUAGAGGCAGCAGUGCCUGAGCUGUUUGUUGACAACCGUAAAGCUACUGGAUACUGGGAUGUUCCUCAGUCAGCAUCCUUAGACGUGUCUUCCCUUCUCAACAAAUCCGGUUUCGUGUACCGAUUUGGCCUCCACGCAAAUGCAGGUCAUCCUGAAUCUGCUGUUAAUACAGUGGAUGCCGAGCCACCCUCUGCUUUGGUGCCUGGACUAUGUGGCAAGGUUGCCUGUUCUUACCAGAAGAGCAAGGAUUUCUGGCGUAUAAAGUGUUCCAAGAGUGCUGAGACGCGCUUGUCCCUGCCGCGUCCCUAUGAUGAUCAACUAAAGGAACCUCAUUCUUCUCUCUCUGGAAUCAUUGGUAAUGUAGUUGAUGGACCAUGAGUGCUGAGACGCGCCUGUCCAUGUUUUUUGCACAAGCGUUUUUCUUAUUUGCUGUGAUUCUACAUGUUAGGUGCAACCUGCGCAGCCUGGUUAAUUGGCGAGGAACGCUUAGCCACACCCUUUGCUCCCAAACCGCGAAGAAGAAGGAAUAGGAACAUUCCAGUUCCAGUUCCAAUUCCAGUAAGGAGUAGUAUAAAGAGGAGCCCAGUAAGUGCAGAUAUGUUCGGCUCAGUUUGCUAUACCAUCCAACAUGGGAAGUUCACCAAGAGCUACGGUGACUUGACAAGGCUGGAUGCUCGCCUGGAUAUUUUCUCAGCAGCAGCUCUCUUCUCCAAAGGGGUUUUCAAUACGUUUCAAAAUUCAGAAGGGAAUCCAGACAAUACACUAUCUUCUCCCAGGCUCAACUUUAUCUUCCAACAGCAGGUAUUGGAUUCUUCUUGAUACCGCCAUUUUAUCUGAUCCGUAGAUAGAUUUUGGUGCCGUGUCACCUGUGAGAAACAGCCUUAAUACAGUUGAAGAAGCUAUACCUGUCUGUAAAGCAUGGCCUUAACGUAGUUCGUCUUGGCAGGUUGCGGGGCCCGUAGUGGCUCGAGUGGAUUCAAGGUUUGCAGUGGGUGGUUCAUCGAGAGGGGCGCACCUGGAAGAUGUGGUAUACAGUAUGAAUUAUUCAUUGAAGGCAAUGAGGGCUGCGAAAGUUGUAGCUUGGUAUUCACCCAAAAGAAAAGAGGGAAUGGUCGAACUACGCGUCUCUGAGUUCUAGUCAGUGUUCCGGUUCCCUUUUCGGCUUCGUUGAUAGAUAGGUUUUUUCAUCAUUGUUUUGAAGUUGAGUACAUUUUGAGUUUCGAGCUUCCGAGGCAGUGCGAUGGACGGAAUAAGAUAAAGAGUUAAGUAAGUUAACCCUGAACUCUAGUGUUCUAACUUCUUUUUCUUCAUUUUCUUUCCUUUUUGUUGGCAUGGCUCAGUAGAGUUUUUUGCCAUAUAGCAAUUCUUUAGCCUGAACUCGGUUCUUGCUGCCAUUUUGGUUUCGGAAAUUGUGAGCAUUCAUCGGCAAGUCGAUUUCAUUUUCAUCGUGUGCAAUUGAACUGAAGUAUUCAACUACUACGGUUCCAUGAACACUGUUUUAACGUUGUUAAACAUACUUAUAAUGAGGGAACAAGCAAGCGAAAGAGAUUUCGAAUUUCAUUUAGAAUUCCGAUGCAUACCAAAACCACUGUUCUACGAAACCAGCCAUUACACGGAGUCAUAGACCCAGUCAAAUCGACAACAUAAUGUUUUAGACUCCUACAAUAGGUUUCUGAUUAUUCACUCAAUCAACUGUUUCUGGACUCAGGUUCGAAAUGGAACACAGAAACAGCGUGUCUAAAAUGAAACACAGCUGAUUUGAAGGAUGGAAAAUCCUGCACCAAAGUAUACCAAGCCAUAUCAACUUGCCAUAGGAUGGUUAUGGAUGUAUUCGAUAGCAAGCUUGCACGAGUCAAUCUUAUCAGCUUCCUUGUCGGGAAUCUCCAGCUUGAAUUCCUCUUCCAAAGCCAUCACGAUCUCAACACUGUCCAGGCUGUCCAAUCCUAGAUCAUUUUGGAAAUGUACCUCAGGAGUCACCUGCACAUGAUGGUCAUAACAAUCUAAUGUCAUUACCAGUUCAUGAAAAUAAGCAAAACCCUUGCAGCAGCAUCAACGGGCUAGCUUAAACUGACGAUCAUAAGAGUAAUUAUAACUUCAUUAUAAAAAGGAUGACACUAUAAUGUCUGCAGCAUGCAAACCGACAUUUCAUAGCAGUGGCAAGCUACGAAAAGAAGGAUAAAAAGUUUUCCCAGGUAAGCAUCGGAUGAGAUAGAACACAGUCAAAUGCAUGGGACAGAUUGGACAUUCCAUCAUGCAUUCAUGCCCCAUCAGCACAACCAGAUUCAGUCCACCAUGAACAUACUCAAUCGACUGUAAGAAUUAAUUGCAAGGACAAUAGAUACAGCCAUAUACCAUUCAAAUUUAUGUACCCUUGAGAUACCAUUUUCAGAGAAAACACCAUACGUGGGGAGCAUAGUGAAGAAUCGAACAGUAGAGCCGAAGAAUAAAGCAAAAAGGUGGAAAAUUUUAGGUGAAAAGAAACACAGCAGCACAAACUAGCAUUUCCAGGACACAGGAAAGGGUCAGUUGUGUCGAUGAAGUGAAUGAUAGAAUCUAGAUUGCUACAUAGGGUUGUGUAAGGUUUUACGCCUUUACUUUCUGUAUGAUGUACAGAACAAAGUUCUGAAGACACAACUCACAAUCAAGCAAUCGUGCAGUACUAAAUGCGAAACGCUAGAGAAAGAAGAAAACUCAAUUUAGAACUGUCCAGUUCGGAAGAGUGAACUAAAAACACAUUUCAGCUCCAGAUGGUAAAUAGAUUCUGACAUAUCUUUCCUUCAGAGAAUUAUAUAUAGUGACUGGCCAACACAUCUCUCGGACGACCACAAAAAAUGGGAGUUCAAUAACCAGUCAAUUAGGCCUUUUGCACCGUAUCAGGCACUAUCAAGAUCAAAUUUUCUUCAGUCGCGAAUAAAAAAAUGGGGCGGCAGCCAAGCUUUUCCAUUAAAGUGACUAUAAAUACAUAACGGCAAGGAAGACUGGAGAGAUUCCUGCAUAGUUCUUAUACUAAUUGAGUGUAUAUAUCGAUAUCAAUACACACCAGGCAGAUUCAAGUUCGCAAAAGGAUACUCAGAUUGGAGGGAGACCACGAAUUAAGGAUUCGUACGCAGUAGCCAAAAACUUUCGAAAUGGUCCGUGUCUCUAUAAAAUCAAUCAAAACCUAGAAGAAGAACUAAAGCAGAAAUGAAGCACCGAAAUCGGAGGUGCGGCAUAAUUGGAAACCAGCGAUGAAUGAUCUGGUGAUACUGUGUCAAAAAUGACAGGCAAGGAAAGAUAGUCGGGUGUGACAAACCUUGGAUGGAUCGACUUUCGGGAAGCUCUUGAUGACGGAAAGAACUCUCUCGGCGACGUCUUCCUUGCUAAGAUGGUCGUCGUGCGAUGACAUUCGCCGGAUGAACGGCUGAGUGUAUCGGCCAGCGGGAACUAGGGUUUGGACGGGAACACGAAGGUGUCGGAUGAUGGCUGCCCUCAACGCCAUUGUUUCUCUCUCUUCCCGUCUGUGUUGAGAGUUAGAUUUGGCAGUGAAAGGGGUUUGCGUGAAACUAAACUUAACGGGAAAUGAAACCGCACAUGGCGCAAGUCUUCAGCCUCCGGUAAUUAUCUAUUUUGGUCAUUCACCGCUAAGUAUUCUAACAAUUAAGUAACACUUGUGGCUUAUUUGCCCCCCUCCACCCGAGUGUCAUCCCUCUCCGAGUAUGGUUUUGGGCCGCUAAAGGUGCUCGGCCGUCAUGGGAUGGUCUAGCAUCCUUCACGGCCGCAAACUUCUUCAUGAACCCCACUAGGUUGGUUGGUAAUGACCUCACCAUCUCAACAAUUGAGUCCAAUUGGUUACCUACUUCGCCAUUGUCGGCACUAAGUCCUUUUCUCUGGCAGCGAGUACGGGUACUGUCCCGCCUACAGUCGCGGGCUUGCUCACCGACAGGUCUUGGAAUACUCCGCUUGUUGAGUCCCUUUUCCCCGCUUCCACCGCUACUUCCAUUUUGGGACUCCCACUCCCUUUGUCAGAUGACAUCUCUUAUUAAUUGGCUUGGCACUACAUCAUCUCUGAAUUGUACAAACUCUCCUCGGGCUACCGGGUGGUACGAUCCCGCUGCAAGAAAACCCACACCUGGCCCCCUCUUUGGCCCGCAUCUGGUUGAUGCCGCACUAUGGGAUCGCCCAUUGUCCCUUCCUAUACUAUUCAAGCUUAAGGAUCUUUAUGUGGAAGUUCUUCACAACCAUUUUAGCAUCACCGAGGCUCUACGCUCGCACCAAGUAGAUGUCAACCCGUCAUGUCGAGUAUGUCGACUAGAAAGCGAGUUUUUGCAUCAUCUUUUCGUCAAAUGCCCAACGACUAUCCACUUCUCGGCAACUAGCAACUGUGACUCAUUCACGUCCCUCUCCUAUCAUUCGAUCACCUUUUGGCGCAUUACUAAUCAGGACAACGUCUUGGUUUUUAUUAAACUCAUCUUCUACUGGUGGCGGCUUUGGAAAUCACCAAUACUGUGGUUUUCUCCAAUUAUCAAACAACCAUUCUGGUUCUUGCAACACAGUUUGAAAGCCAAUGGACGGAGGGUUUGGCUACCGCUUAGUACCAACUGACACAGCAACAUUCGAGCUCGGCGGCUGCUAUUAGUGGACCUCCGGUCCCUUAUCACACUCUUCGAAGCUACUUUUUUUAUGCGGCAUUUCGUCCCUACACCUAGACUUCUUCCGGUUUUGGCUCCAAUGGUGUGGUGUGCCUUGACUGAUAUGGCGUCAUAGCGAAGGCGACUCACGACGUCCACUCGCAUCUCACGGACCUCAUUGCGCUGGAAGUAAUGUCGAUCAAGCUCGCACUCUCAUUAGUAGCUGACCAACCUCUCGCGCCCACUAUUAUCCAUACAGACUCAACUAGCAAAGAUUGCCCGCCUUAUCAACUCUGACACCCCAGACAUCAGAGUAGGCCUCCUACUAUCUGAGACUCGUCGACUUUUUCACUCCCUCCCACACCCUUACAUCAAGUUCAUACCGCGCCGAAAUAAUAAAGCUGUCCAUUUAAUGACCUGGGAAGCUCUACAUUAUCCCAAUUCAACACGAAAUUUUUAGAUUUACGCUACAAUAUUUAAAUGUUUUCUAUCUCGAGUAUAUCUCGAGAGAUACCUUAGAUAAAAGAAAAGGUCUGAUUAUGGGUUAAGAGGACAAUGACCUCCCAUAUCUUUUAUGGACUCAAGGAUGUAGGCCAUCUAAUUCACCUAUAAGAUCUAAUGAUUUUAAAUAAAGGAAUGUUCAAAUGGAGUUGUUCUAGUGGUAGAGUAUGUGUUUGGUUAUUAGAGGAUUUUAGUUUAAAUCUAGUAUAUUUCGAAAAAUGAACACUUAUUUAUUUUCUUUCUUCUAUCUUUUAUUAUCCAAAAGACUCCAUCUAUUAAAAAAAAAGACAAAGCAAGAUGAUAGUGUUAUAUUCACAUACUUUUGAUUUUUCAUUUUUUUACCAUCCAACCAGCUUCCAUCACCGGACCGAUGGAACCAUGUCUCCGUUAAGCAAACCACUACCAAUCAUGUAAGGGAAAAGUUUGGUAUGACCCAUGAGCCAAAGCAUACACUCUAUUUUAGAUUUUGAUUGUGAUCGCUAAGUUUAACGUGAAACCUGUGAAAUUUAUAAUGCCUAUUAACAGCAAGAUCGUAUUAAUUAGAUUUUUCAAACCCUACAUUAUGCGGCUUGAUGUGGAAUCUGUUAUUGCCCAUUUUUGUAAUUUCCAUUCCAAUCGUCUAAAUUCGUUAUUUUACGAGUCCACUAUUAUAAAUCGAAAAAAAACUCGAUGAAAAUCAUAGUGAUAUAUUCAUAAAAAUAUGGUGAUCUAAUGGCCAUAUAUACCUAAUUCGACAACUUUUGGAGUUUGGACCAGAAUCCUAAAUGUAAAAAUUAUUAAUUGUAUGGUGAAACAGUUAAUUUCACAAAACUUAAGAAGCAAACUGCACGUAGUCCCGAGGAAAUAAUAAACUCCCCCCAAGACCCAAGUCAAUUAGCACAUCCUCUCUUUUCUCUCGAGAUCCGGAUCUCGAUUUUUUCGACGAUCUCUCUGACGGGCAUAACCCGUCUAACAAUCGCCGGCGGGAACUUCGUCUGAUAGUAUAGAUUCUCAGGAACAAUGGCUCCAGUAUCCGCCCUGGCGAAGUACAAGCUGGUGUUCUUAGGUGAUCAGUCUGUUGGUAAAACCAGUAUCAUCACCCGCUUCAUGUAUGAUAAGUUCGACAAUACUUAUCAGGUAAUUGCAUUUCAAGCGGAUGUUUUCAAUCGUUUCAUCUCUUCCUCUCCCCCCGGCGGCUAGAUCCAAUUAGAACAGUGCUUCUUUGAUGCUUGCUUUGAUCUGAUUUGUUUGGUAUGUUGAAUAUCUGUUACUUCACUUCAUGCGUUAUUUUGUAUACGAUCCAUUUGAAAUACAUCAUAUAGAGGUCUGGUAUGGAUCUUAUGCUUAUAUUUCCAUGUUAUUUCUUGGAGGGAAUAUUUGAAAAUCAUGGGAUCUCUAUACAUCUAUGUUUACCUUUCGUGGUUUUGUUUUUCUUUGCUCUUGUUGGCUAAGAGUUAUCAUUGUUUACCAAUCUGGAUAUAGUUCACGUAAAGUGAUUCGUUUGCUCUGCUCUUAUUGUCUUAUCCCAUUGUUUCUUCAUGACCAGGCUACCAUUGGUAUCGAUUUUCUCUCAAAGACUAUGUACCUUGAAGACAGAACUGUUAGAUUGCAGCUCUGGUAAGAUUUCUGUUUCUUGAAGUUAAUAUUUGUUCGUGUUAUACCUUUUAUGCAAGAUAUUUCUUCAUUUACGACGGGCCUUUGUAUGCACAUUUAAUUUAUUCAUUGCAAUAUCUUUUAUCAUCUAUGCCAUUUCAGGUCUUAUAUACACUUUCGAAGCUUUACUUACUUGCAUAUGGUGUAACUACUGUUUUUAGUUUCAUGUAAUCAUGCAUCAUUGACAUCAGUUGUGGAACACUGAUUCUUGAAGCUAUACUCAUACCAAGUAUCAUGCUAAAUGCAGGCUAGAGGGCCUAACAUACUAGUUAUGCUCUUACAUUAUUUUACGAAAUAGUUAUGCUAAACGUACCCACGGGCCACUAGCGGAUCUGGGGUGGAUCAAGGCACCUGGCCAUUUCGGAAAGAUUUACUAGGCUUUGUGAAUUGUAGUGGAUUAUUAAAUACUAUGUUGUUUUGGAUUGGGUUGUACUGCACCAAUUUACAUUAUCGAUUUGAUGAUUCUUGUAAUUGAAUCUGGUAAUGUAUUUUUUAAUCCUUCAGUGGGUCAAAUCAAAUCCUAAACUGGGCUAAAUUGGUAAAACCAUUAGGCCAAUCCACUUCUGUAUACAAAAUUACACAUAGUUUCAUAGUUUUGGGUCUGGGGGAGGGCUUGUUGGUUUUGCCUUAGUUGAUUUAGGUUAUUCAUCUUAGUUUAUUUAUGUAGAAGCUUGCUGGUUGGGUCAUUCAUCUUAUUCGAUUUAUGUAGAAGCUUUACUUCUGUGUGAGAUCUAAACUGUUUGCCACCUACUCAACUUGUUGGUUUUACCUAAGGCUGGAGAUUCCUAAGUGGCUUUCAUGAAUGCUAAUGAAUGAUGAUGGUCUUAGCAGCUUUGACAAGCUCUUUUUCCCCCACAUGAAUUGCUUUAAGAAUGAAUGACAUUUCUUCAUGUAGGUAAUUGACGGUCAAUAAAUGGGAACACUUGAAUUUUUUUGUAGGGACACUGCAGGACAAGAACGGUUCAGAAGCCUUAUUCCAAGUUACAUAAGAGAUUCAUCUGUGGCGGUCAUUGUGUAUGAUGUUGCAAGUACGGUAUUUUUUACGGCUUUUGUUGAAGCCCCUUUCUCUUUUAUAUCUGUUUCCUAUUGUGUCUUGUAACUCUCAUCAUAUCAUCUUCCUGUAUCACAUGGGAGCAAUAUCUACUGCAUUAUCUUUCACUUGCUAUAAUCUUGCCUUUUUGCUGCUGAGGAUUUGCUUGACACCUGUUGUGUCUGUGCUUUCAGGCAGACAUUCGUUCCUGAACACAUCCAAAUGGAUUGAAGAGGUUCGAACUGAGCGGGGAAGUGAUGUCAUAAUUGUACUGGUCGGAAAUAAGACUGAUCUUGUGGACAAAAGGUAAUGUUUUGAUGUUUUAGGAGUUGCAGUUCAUUGUUGAACGAACUAUAGUAUGUGCCCCGGCCCCGGGGCCGCUUUCUCUGAAACGUUAACACAAGUGUGGGAAGUGUUUCCUAAUAAUUGUACUCGUAUGAUUGAAUAUGUAUUAGGAAAUUUGUGAAUGUGCUGGCUAUUUUUUAAAUAUAUCCAUAGGACUCUUUUAUAUUAACUUCUUUAGCAAUGGUAGUAACUUCAGAAAAGAGUUAGUUGUGUGACAGUUGUGCAGAAAUACAGGAGGGGACUGAAGAAAUACUUGCAUUGCAUUUACAGUUGUAGCCUUUUGAAUCAUUGGUGAUCCUAAUGUUUGACAGGCAAGUUUCAGUAGAGGAAGGAGAGGCAAAAGCUCGUGAGAUGAAUGUCAUGUGUAUCGAGACAAGUGCAAAGGCUGGCUUCAAUAUUAAGGUAGGGGGUUGUUGCUUUGGUUUGAUUUGUAGUGACGGAUGGAGGGAAGUCAAUUAAAUUUGUACUGAAGUCAUAUGGGCUAUUGGGUUGAAAACCUUGUGCUGGAUUCUAUUUUUCUCAGGCGCUGUUCAGGAAGAUUGCAGCAGCACUGCCGGGAAUGGAAACGCUUUCAUCAACAAAGCAAGAAGAUAUGGUUGAUGUGAAUCUCAAGUCCUCGAAUGCUAAUGCGUCACAGUCCCAAGGGCAGUCAGGAGGAUGUGCUUGUUGAUUUGAUACUAACUGUUGAAGGCGCUCGUCUCUGCAAAAGCUAGCGAUUUCCAUUCCCUCCCAUGGCUAGGUAAGGUUUUGAUGAUAUUGGCCUCGGCAGUUGACCUUAUCAUACGAUACGGGCAGUUCGAAACUGGUAUGGCGGGGGUUGGAAGUUUGCUCAGCGUUAUCAAAUUACAGAGUUUUUUGUUUUUUUUUUCCAGUAUGAUGUACACAUUCAUGAAUAAUGUUGCUCUUUGGGUUUGGUUUUGAUUUGGUUUGGGUUUAUUGUACGUAGUUUGUAAGAUAGUGUAUGUAAACCGAGUGGCUUUUUGGAUUUUGGAUUAUUCCCUCUAUCGUUCGCUUUUGGCUGUGUUUUCUUUUGCUUUUUCCCAGUUUUGGCAGAGUUGGGUGACUGGUUUUCCCUCCUAGUAGCUCCCCAAACUCAGAGUUGUCAUUUGGACGUGUAAGGAUGAUUGGCUAGCUCCCGUGCAUCGAUCUCGUUCUCGAUCCAACUCAUUGUCUCCGACAAUGCUCACCCCUCUGCUUCUCUACUCCGCUAGCACCCUCGCCACGAUUUCUUACGAAACGAAAGCAAGGUAGUAUUAUCCGGAACAAUCAUCCCCAACCAUCCUCUUCACGAAGUGCAGCAUCACCAUUGCAUUUAAGGGUAUUAUUGCAAAUCAUGGUUUUUAGGAAAGUUGAGUUGAAAUUAAUGUAAACAAGUUGAGUUAGAAUAGAAAAACAUUAUAAAUGAAAAUUUGAAUCAAGAAUAUAAAAAUUCUAAUUAGAAUUAUUCCUUUCGUUCGGAAGCUCCCCUUCGUACCACCCCUACUUUCACUCUCUUCGCCGCUACUCUCGGGCUCACAAUCACUACCGCCGGCGCGGAAAUUCCUCACCGUCCAGUACUCCCUCCAUCCCUCUUCCUUUCAUCUCUGUUCGUCUCUCUUUCUCGGUAUUAUUCUGUUUGGCGUGCGCUUGAUUUCGAACUGAUUCCUUGCUGCCGGCGCAACAUUUUCCUUUUGGCAGUUUGCACAGACAUCCCGAUUAUCCACCGUAAUCGAAAUUCCCUCCGUCAACAACAUGGCUGGUAAGUGGUAACCCCCUCCCUCUAUCUCUCUCUGAGCUAAUUGACUUAGCAUAACUAUAACCGAGUGUACAAACGUGAAUGAAAAGGUCAGUUGGUUUUUUUUUUGUUUUAAAGGGUAAAUGAAGGAGCCAUUGUUAACAAUGAGUGAAUCCAUUAUUGACCUUAGAACAUCCUGACUUCAUGUCUACAAUUCAACAAAUCUAUAAGAAGGCUACUUCCUCUGUCUUUAGCAGCCGCAAGUAUAUAACUUUCUUCGAAAUCACUAGGUCAUCCGUCCACUCUAUGAUUGUGUGAAAAGAUAUGCCUUCCAAAUCAAAAUGCUCUGCUUAGUUUUUACAACUGCGAGAUACUUUCUUCACAUGGCUUCAAAUGACUUGUUCUGUACAAUGUCAGUUUCAUCUUGUAAUCGUUGUUUGGUUGAUGGCAACGCCAGCCCUUGUGAUUAACCUCAAUGGAAAUAUUGGAUGGAUACUUAUAUCAGUGUUUUCGUCUUUAUGUACAGAUAAUCAGGAACCGAUCCUGAGCAAGAAUAGCAACACAGGGCAGCCACCGUUACUUAAGAAACUCAAACGCUGGCAAUGGUGGUUUGGAUUAUUCCCUCUAUCGUUCGCUUUUGGCUGUGUUUUCUUUUGCUUUUUCCCAGUUUUGGCAGAGUUGGGUGACUGGUUUUCCCUCCUAGUAGCUCCCCAAACUCAGAGUUGUCAUUUGGACGUGUAAGGAUGAUUGGCUAGCUCCCGUGCAUCGAUCUCGUUCUCGAUCCAACUCAUUGUCUCCGACAAUGCUCACCCCUCUGCUUCUCUACUCCGCUAGCACCCUCGCCACGAUUUCUUACGAAACGAAAGCAAGGUAGUAUUAUCCGGAACAAUCAUCCCCAACCAUCCUCUUCACGAAGUGCAGCAUCACCAUUGCAUUUAAGGGUAUUAUUGCAAAUCAUGGUUUUUAGGAAAGUUGAGUUGAAAUUAAUGUAAACAAGUUGAGUUAGAAUAGAAAAACAUUAUAAAUGAAAAUUUGAAUCAAGAAUAUAAAAAUUCUAAUUAGAAUUAUCUUUUUUUAUCUCAAAGAAAAAUAAACCUUUUUAAUAAACUUUUAUAUCUUUUAAUUUUAUAUUACUUUUACAAUCUCUUCGAAUCUCAAUUUAAUUAUUUUAUAUUAUUCUAAUUUCAUUCUAAAUUCUACGGCGGAUAAAUAUAUCAGCUGUCAUAAAAAAGUGUUCCGAAAUAUAAAGUUGUUUGAAAAAGAAAUCCCGCAAAAUAGUGGGGGAUAUUUAUUCCAAAUCUGCGUUGCGUUAAACUAAACUCUUUGACUCUUGGGCGCUAUUUCCCACCGAAUCGAAAUCUAUGGACCCACCCCAGCUAACGCUCCCACGUAACUACAUAUCAGUGGUAACCCCCUCCCUCUAUCUCUCUCUGAGCUAAUUGACUUAGCAUAACUAUAACCGAGUGUACAAACGUGAAUGAAAAGGUCAGUUGGUUUUUUUUUUGUUUUAAAGGGUAAAUGAAGGAGCCAUUGUUAACAAUGAGUGAAUCCAUUAUUGACCUUAGAACAUCCUGACUUCAUGUCUACAAUUCAACAAAUCUAUAAGAAGGCUACUUCCUCUGUCUUUAGCAGCCGCAAGUAUAUAACUUUCUUCGAAAUCACUAGGUCAUCCGUCCACUCUAUGAUUGUGUGAAAAGAUAUGCCUUCCAAAUCAAAAUGCUCUGCUUAGUUUUUACAACUGCGAGAUACUUUCUUCACAUGGCUUCAAAUGACUUGUUCUGUACAAUGUCAGUUUCAUCUUGUAAUCGUUGUUUGGUUGAUGGCAACGCCAGCCCUUGUGAUUAACCUCAAUGGAAAUAUUGGAUGGAUACUUAUAUCAGUGUUUUCGUCUUUAUGUACAGAUAAUCAGGAACCGAUCCUGAGCAAGAAUAGCAACACAGGGCAGCCACCGUUACUUAAGAAACUCAAACGCUGGCAAUGGUGGCUUCUAGUGUCUAUCAACAUCUUCUUCCUCGUUGCAGGCCAGUGUGCUGCUGUUCUCCUUGGAAGAUUCUACUAUGACCAGGGUGGGAACAGCAAAUGGCUGGCAACUCUUGUUCAAACUGCUGCCUUCCCAAUUCUCUACAUCCCAUUCCUGCUAAUUCCUUCUUCUAAAGAGGAGACUUCAAAUCCCACCUCAUCAUCAUCCUCUUCUUCACCAUCCCUCAAAGUUCUUGCUUCCAUCUACUUCGUCCUCGGAGUAAUCAUAGCUUGUGACAACAUGCUCUACUCCAUCGGCCUACUCCACCUCUCAGCUUCCACCUACUCCUUGAUAUGCGCUUCCCAAUUGGCAUUCAACGCUAUCUUCUCCUACUUCCUCAAUUCGCAAAAAUUCACUUCCUUAAUCCUCAACUCCGUAGCCAUGCUCUCCUUCUCCGCCGCUCUCAUAGCAAUGAAUGACGACUCCAACGACGAACCAUCGGGGAGAUCCAAGUUGAAGUACGCAAUUGGUUUCCUCUCCACAUUGGCUGCUUCGGCAUUGUACUCACUCAUUCUCUCCCUGAUGCAGCUCUCCUUUCAGAGGGUCAUAAAGAAAGAGACUUUCGCCGUGGUGUUGGAGAUGCAGAUCUACACAUCUCUUGUCGCGACAUGUGUUGCCACUGUAGGUCUCUUUGGGAGCGGGGAGUGGAAGACGCUGCACGGGGAAAUGGGAAGUUACGGCAAGGGUAGUGCUUCGUACGUGCUGACGCUGGUUUGGACGGCGGUGACGUGGCAGGUUUGUUCUGUCGGCGUGGUGGGUCUGAUAUUUGUGGUGUCGUCGUUGUUCUCAAAUGUGAUAAGCACGGUGGCGUUGGCCGUAUCUCCGAUCUCGGCGGUGAUCGUUUUCGGGGACAAGAUGAAUGGGGUGAAGGCGAUUGCAUUGUUGAUGGCAGUGUGGGGGUUUGGUUGUUAUAGUCGGCAGAACUAUGAGGAUGAACGUGAGAUUAGGAAGACAGCAGAGGACGCUGCUGCUGCGGAAGCUCGCGGUGGUCAUUUGUGCUAAACUGAUAGUUGGGAGUUUGGGAUUGAUAUUAGAAAUUGGUUUAAUCUGUUAGGAAAGGAAGUGUCCAUGAUGGAAGGAGGUGAAUCGUUGAAAUAAUGAAUGCUGCAGGGAUGUACGUCUUGCUAAUGGCAAAGAUUCAUCUGAAGCAUAUCGAUACUUUUACUGAAAAGAGUAUUUUUUCAAAGUCUGGGUGUACAACUGUCACAGAAUUGUAAUGGAUGGUACUUGAAUACAGGGUGGAUAGAAAUAUUUUAGCAGGUUUUGUUGAUGAUUUGUGAUAGAUCUUUUUGCUGGUACCUUCAGUUCCAGAUUUCCAUGGGUACCAUCUGGUUUUGACUGCGAGACUCUGGCAUGGCCAUGAAGUUUGAGUAUCCUUGUGCCCGCUUCCUCGUCUCCAUUCCAACCCGAGUGAGGCUGUUUGUGGAUGCUGCCCCUGGCUAUUCCACAGUGGAUUGUUGAUCUUGGUCUCCAGAAGAUGCAGACAACUAUGGUAGCCCAGUUCCUCGGCCCAUGUCGAUUUAUUCUUCCCCUGCAGCGCCGCCUGUAAUUGGUUCACUUCUUCUGAUGAUAUUUUAUUAGUUUUUUUUGGCACCGACGUGCUGUUAAAUAUAAUUAGAGAACCUCAUAAUUUUAGAUUAUGAAACACUUAUAAAAUCAUAAUAUAAUUAGUAGGACAGAUCAUAAUCUGACGAAUAAUAUGUAAAUUAUAAUCAAAAGAGUGGCCAAGAUUAGUUCAAGUAAUCCGUAACAAAAUUAACUUUACAAUAAGUGUGGGAUAGACUGAUUAACUCCUUAAACUGCAGAACAAAAAUAACGUGACGAUAACCCUUAUUAGUUAGUUUCCUGAUACAAUCAUGUGUAGUAAUGUAAUAUACUAAUGAACCAAAUUUAAUCAUGGCCAAAGACAAAAUCAAGGCCAUGAUUGGCAGUUAAAAAUGGUUGAUUGAAUCAGGACUAGUCUACUUUUUUUAUAUAGGAAUCGCUCAAAAACUGCAGAUCCUGUUGUUGUCACAUAACAAUAUUAAUAUUGACCGUUAGAUAUAGGUGGUAAGAUCUGAUGGUUGAUAAUAAAAGGGCAGAUGUGUAAUUGCGUCCCUACUUGAAAUUGAUGUCACAAGAAAAGUAAAGGGAGGAGUGGUAGGCGACAAAUUCCAACCAAACCCACCACCGCGCAAUAAGUUUUGGUGGAAUCCAUCGCACUCGCAUCCUUGGUGUUUAUGCAUCGCCGCAUAGCUAAUAGCUUUCCUUUCCACCACCAGUCGGUCGAAUAGAACAUUCCACUUCACCCCCACUACCCGCCCAGCCCCACAUCCCACAUGCGGCUCCACUUUGUUCUUCUUUUCUUCUGUUCGCAACGUUAACCUAAAGAAAGCCACAAAGCUCUCUUCUUCUUCUUCUUCUUCUACUUCUCUUUUGUUUCAAAAUAAUUUGACCAAUCCAACGAACCUUCAGUUGGAUUCGGUUUCCAGUGACGGAGAACCAAAAAUCAUCAGAGUUGAAAUUCUAAGAACCACUCUAUAUGGACACACCCAAAAAGGCCGCUUUGUCUAAUCCCUAUCAUUUCGCGGUCAGGGGCGGAUGCAAAGGGGAGCUGGGUGAGGAGCUGUGGCUCGCCUAGUUUCUGUACAGAGUUAAACUCAUAUGUAUAUUUAUCAUGUUUUUAGGGCUCGAUAUAAUUUUAAGUUUGGCUCGAUGUUUGAUCGUGUCGGAAUUAAAAAGAGUUAAAGGAGAGUGACUCCCACUUUUUUAUUCUGAAUACUAAAUUAUAUAUAGAAAUCACUAGCUUUUGUCCGGCCGAUUGAUUGUAUAAAGCUUGCGGUUGGAUUAUAUAUUCAAAUUUAAGGUGAAUAUUUUUAUAUUAAUCUCUACCUUCUACUUACAUACAUAUAUUUUAUGUUUUUUAGUUUUCAUUUUAAACUGAUAAUAGUAUUAUUGCUUAAUUUUAUUGUGACACGGUGGGUAAUCUGUGACCCACCUACCCCGAGAUCUGAUGAACUUGUUACUUGAUAAACCCAGCAAUGAAUUUGUGACCCGACAAAUCCGCAACCCAACUAACUUGACUCAUAACCCGCCCGCCUAACCCGUUUGGCAAAUUUAACAUACAUGCACUAAACUUAACUAAACUUUCUUUAAAAAAAGACAUCAAAUAGCUAAUUUUAAAGUAUAAUUUUUUUAGUACAAAGAAGGAUUUUAUAAAAUUAUAUGCUUUAUUCUUAAUAUAUAUGACAUUUUGUAGGUUUGUUGUAAUACGAUGGCCAAUCCGUGUUAGUUUGGUGACCCGUCCAUCUCUUGAGACCUGAUGGACCUGCUGCAACCUGAUAAACCUACCACGAUCCCUUAUGGACCCGCAACCUGAUGAACUUGCAAUCCAAUUAACUUGUGACCCUACCACCCGUAACCCAAUUCAAAAUCUGCAACUCAACGAAUCCACAACCAAACUAACAUGACAUCUGACCCACACAACCUGCCCGUUUGAUAAGUCUAUGUACCCUACAAUGAAGUUAGCUUACCGUUCCUAUAAUAAACAAUUCUCAAAUAGCUAAUUUUAAAAUAUAAUAUUUUAGUACAAUAAAGUAUUAUAAAAAAUUAUUUUCAUUCUCGCAUAUUUGCAUUUUGAAUUAAAUCUUUAGUUUUGUGUAGAUACAAUUACAAACCUUUACUGAGAUCUCCUAAAUUCAAUAUCACCCAUUUGUUCAUAUAACUUCUCACUAUCUCCUUAACCUCUUCAACUUUCUGUUUCACCUCCUCCACCGUACAAAACUGCCUAAAAGGCAAUGAAUGCAAACUUAACUCCCUUCAGAACCUCAAGUACCUCACUGUUCUCGACCUUUUCCAUCACUCCUUUUAGAACGCCUUCAACCGUACUGAGACACU
rnacentral:lncRNA from 1 species